rnacentral:lncRNA from 1 species
GGAAAACCUAAGAUGGGAGCAUAAAUAGCUGUGAGAUAAAGUGAAAAGGAGGUAAGAGCAUUUGGGAGCGUGCAGGCAGCGUGCUUGGGUGGUGGUGGUGGGGGGGUGCAGGUGAUGAUGACUUUUCUUGGAAAAAGGCAACGUAUAUUAUAACCCACCCCCCUGAUUUUGUCCUUUAUAAUUUAGCACACCAUCUACUGUGAGCUGUUUGGUAUAGUGUCUUGAAGUUAGACCUUGGUUUGAAUCUUGGCUCCGCCUUUUACUAGUAGGACUCCCCUAGUAAAUUUUUUGAGCUUCUUUUUCUGCAAAGUAGUGAUGAUAUUGGGGUAUAAUAAGGCAACAUAUCAGUUAAGAUAUGUAGAUACUUUUGUCCGCAAGUAGCAGAAAACCCAACCCAAACUGACCAAAUGGGGAACUCCUUAGCUUGUAACAGAGGCACUUUAGAGUAGACUAGCUUCCAAGUGGAGCCAUCUCGUCAAGGGGCAUCUCUCUUCUGGUUUCUAGCCUGCUGUUCACAGUGUCAACUCUCCUCAGACCUGUUCCACUUCCACUGUAGCAUGGAUGUCAAUGUCCACAUGACUUUAUCCAUAUUCACUUCAGUUGAGCUAACUUAGGCCAGUGCCUGCUUCUUAACCAGGGGCAAUCAUCAUAGGUGCCUGUGUGAAUUGCUGGAAAGUUGUGAGACCUUAUGUAAGUUCCUUAAUCUUUCUGUGCCUGAGUUCCCGCCUUUGUUGAAUGGACUAGAUAGUACUUACCUCAUAGGGGUGGUGUUAGAAUUUAAUGAAUUUAAUGAAUGAUGGUUACCUUAGAUCAGUGUUUUGCUUUGUCUUCCUAGACCAUCUGCAGCAACCUAUUGGUAAGUCAUGAAAUAAAUUUAGUGGAUUGUGGCUAUCUUGAAGCCACAGAGAAAAGAAACAAAAUAGGACAGUAGUGAAUAGAGAAUCUCAGAGCGUGUAGCAUAUGAUAAACAUGAACAGUGUUUCAUGAAACCUUUUUUAAGGUUUUAUAUGUAUUUGUGCAUGUACUUGGUUAAGACAGAAAACUUAUUAGUGAACUUGAUACAUGGAAAAAAAAAGUUGAGGAACAUCAGCUUGACUAAUCAGGGCGAAUUGCUUUAACCAGGACAUUGAGAGAGAGGAGAAACUGAUGUUGGGGAGAAAGACAAAUCACUAACCCUUCCACAGGCACUGAUUUAAGAACUUUGCAUAUAUGAACACAUGAGACAUUUGCAUCAACUGUAUAAGUUAGGCUCCUUUAUUAAACCCAUUUUCCAGAUGAACAUUGAAUGCUGAUUCUUAGUGUAGUGUAGUAAAAAUGUGGGCUGUAGGUUCAAAUCCAUGCAGCCCGGUUCUAGAGCCCAAUUUUUGCAUUAUAUUGAGAAUCAGCAUUCAAUGUUCACUCCCUAGAUUAUCAGUGCUCAGCACAGGGCCAGACACGGAGAAUAAGCACCCCAGAAACGUAGUCAUCAUUAGGAAUAUUUUUUUGAAAAGACCAAUUUGCAGUCAGGAAACGCCCUUCUUUGGUUUCUCUCCAGCCUGAGGAUGUGUAGACAAAUCCACGGGAGGGUAGGAAGCCUUGACCUUCUGUCCAGGUCGUAUGCUUAAUAAAGAGGACACCAUGGUGUCCUCAAAAGACCUUUUAGGACACAGCCAAGUUUUUCAAAGGCUGUUCAUAUCUAUGGGGUGGUCAGGGGCAAAGGUAAUUUGUUUUAAAAUGGGCCACCUUGGGGCGCCUGGGUGGCGCAGUCGGUUAAGCGUCCGACUUCAGCCAGGUCACGAUCUCGCGGUCUGUGAGUUCGAGCCCCGCGUCGGGCUCUGGGCUGAUGGCUCAGAGCCUGGAGCCUGUUUCCGAUUCUGUGUCUCCCUCUCUCUCUGCCCCUCCCCCGUUCAUGCUCUGUCUCUCUCUGUCCCCAAAAUAAAUAAACGUUGAAAAAAAAAUAAAAUGGGCCACCUCUGUCACCCUGAGCUGUGUUAGCGAAUGGUUUCAAUGGUGCAUCCAGAAACACAUAGUACUAGCCCCUGGGGCAUGAUGAGGUAGGUGCUGGUAGAUGAGCGUCAGCUUGAUUCUUGUGUUUAGAAGAUAUUCUGAUCUCUUCCUGGGGUGUUUUGAAGGGAACCUGGGAGACUAAACUGAGGGACCCGUGUGUGCCCUGGUGUAGGCAGGAGCAACAAAGAAAUAUCCUGGAAGAUUCUGACCUUAUUUUAUACAGGGCGUCUAAUCUAAUACAGCGGAGGAAGAAUUUUUGCAAAGAGUCCCAAGAGGACUAAUAAAAUGGCUUUGAAUUUCAUUACGUUUGAGAGGGAGGCACUAAUUCAAUUAGCCACAAAAUGAGAAUUUUCCUACCCCUUCUGUUUGGAGCAGCUCCGAAGCUAGGCUGCACCCAAGGAAGUGCUCGGACUGCCUUUGGAUAUAGUCUUCCUUGUGAGGAAAGGCGAUUCUUGUCAAAUUUUAGGCCAGCUUCUGAACCUUUAUGCUUCUGCUCUGUGCAGUUUUUGGGAGCCAGGAUAGCGUAGUGAAGAAGAACACAGACCUUGCAUUCAAAUCUCAGCUCUGCCAUGUAUGGGUGUGAGCCGUGAGCAAGCUACUUAACUUUUCCAAGCCUCAGUCCCCUCACCUGUGAAGUGGGGUUAGUGAAAGUAGGCAUCAUUGUCAUAGGACAUAAUAUGAGUAUUAACUUAGUUAAUAGAUGUUAAAGCAUUCAGAAGAGUGCCUGAAGAGAUUUCUGCUCUUCUGGUCUUAGAGUCAGUAGACAAGCAAGCAGAAGGGAAUCAUCACACAAGCAGUCAGUGCCUGACAUGGUAAAAGGCCCAAGGAAGGAGCAACUGUCUCUGGAAUAUGUGGGGAAGGAAGGAGGUGAACUUGGAUCUUGAACAAUUCACAGGAGGCCGCAGAGACGGGAGUCAGGAAUAGCAUGUCUGAAAAACGUGUCUUGCGCUCCCAUAGUGUCUCCGGGGAUUGUUGGGCAUUUACUAGGGGGUGAGGCCAAGCAUUUAUGGGGUGGGCUGGUGAGGUAGGAGGCUGGAAGGUCCCUGGGGGCAGGCAAUGAACAGGACUGUUCAUUUUGGCAAGACAAGAUUGUUCCAUUAAGUUAGGAGUUCUGUGAGCUUUACGGAAUUCAAUAAUUCUUGUCUAGGUUUUUUUUCUUGGAUAGAGGAUUUCAAAUACUUUUGGAGAAAGCUCAUUCCAUAGCUGAAUAGUCAUGUCUUGGGGUUGACAUUGGAUCUUUCACUGGUGACUGCUCUGGUGAUCCUCCCUCCACCCCCCCCCCCCCCCCCCCCCCCCCCCCCCCGCCCCCAACAGGAAUUUGCCAUUCUGGUUAAAAGGAUUCUGUAAGAAUCAGAAAGAAAAUGUCUGCAGUUUGUUCUUCCUAAACCUGCUAAAUUGUUAAAAUCACGGUUACAAUUUGAUAUGUCCAUGGAAUAUGUGGUUUUUGACUUUGGCAGAAUGUGCCAUUCUGCUCUUGAAAUUAUUCUCAUAAGUUUUUUUUUUUUAAUUUGUCAGUUUCAGAACGCUAUUUACUGCAUAAUUCCUACUUGUAAAUGGGUGAUGUUUUAAAAAUUCAUUCUUAAGUCCGUUGUUUGGACCACAGAUUGCAUAGUUCCAUAGAAAUGACCAUGUCAUUUGUUAGGUCUUUAGGCAAGUUUAUCAGACUUAGUUGACACAAAAUGUAGUUGAACAGUAGCUAACAUUUAUUAAGCCAACAAUACAAUUACACUAAUACAAAUUUUUGUUAUGAAAAGAUAAGAAGACACUAAUGGUGAAUAGAAAUUUUAAAUUACUGUUAUAUUUAAAUUUUUUAUUUUUAACGUUUAUUUUUGAGACAGAGAGAGACACACUAUGAACGGGGGAGGGUCGGAGAGAGAGAGGGAGACACAGAAUCUGAAACAGGCUCCAGGCUCUGAGCUGUCAGCACAGAGCCCGACAUGGGGCUCGAACUCACAGACCGUGAGAUCAUGACCUGAGCCAAAGUCAGACGCCCAACCGACUGAGCCACCCAGCCGCCCCAAAUUACUGUUAUAUUUAAAUAUAGAUCAGCUUUCCUAGAUUGCUACUCUUUCAUAUCCUUGAUAGUUUAUAGGGUGCUUUUGGAUACAUUAUCCAAUUAGAGCCUUAAAACCAGCCCGUGUGGGGAGUGCAGAGAAGGAAACUGCAGUUCAGAGAGGCACACUGGCUUGUCCAAGAAAAUACAACUUUCGUCAACACUCUUUAAAAAAAAAAAAAAAGGUACAUUACAAAUGGAUGAUGAAGUAAGGUUAGCUUCACAAUGUCAAUUGUAUAGAAAUCUUGCUACAUUUUGAUUAGAAAUUUUAGAGGAGAUGUUGGCUAUAAGAUGACAAGAUCCUGCAACUGUUUAUCUAAUCUAUUAAAGUAUUUAUUGAACUCCUACUAAUCAGUCCUGUUUUUAGGGGGGUGAGCAGGGUGAGGGUAGAGAAUCGUAAAUAUUUAAGGCUUGGCUUCUGGUCUUUUUUAGUUAUUGUGGUACAAAUUGUAGGGUAGAAGCUCCCUUACCCAAUGGAGGUGGGGCUGGGGGUCCGUUGGUUAAUCUAAAAUUGUGGUUUAAGGUAAUAAUGGGAACAACAACAAAAAACCACACGUUUUCAAUAGCAAAUAUCACCAUGUCUUUCUAAAUACACCAAUUUACCCCAAAUAAGUCAACACCUUGUAGAAAAAGCAAAUUGUUUCUGUAGUAGAAUGAGUAUGUCUUGCUAUAUUCAAGGGCAUAGGAGAAAAAAAUGAGAAAAUGGUAGACUGAGGUUAUGUGACAAUGUAACAGUCAUCUGCUCAUAUGGAGCACCUUCCUCAGGCUGUGAUGGCAACUUUUCUAGGAUUUAUUACUCUGUGAUUUUUAAUUUGCAUGAAUACUCCUUAAAACCAGAGACCUGCCUUAUUUUUUCUGUGGGUGUUCCAUGGCAGCUAAUUCUGUGCUGAGUACCUAGUGCUGGAUAAAUGUUUGAUGAAUAAAUGAAAGGAUAAUUUAACACAAUAUUAGCGAUGUUAGUAGAAUAAUAAUGUGAAUCAGAGUCUCAAGCAGUCAGUUAUUCUUUCCUGUUUAACUGUCUCCCAGAGACAGCCUUAGGCCUUGGGAGUUGAAUCUGCCUCGGCUGAAUUUUCAAAUGACAUGGCCAGCUUUCUUAAAAAUGUAUUUCCAUUCCAUUCCAUUCCAUUCCACACUUUGUUAUGAUUCUUGGCUGUCUUCCUGGACCUUGUGACAAAUCCUCACGGAGAAAAUGCCUUCUACACCGGGACAUGUGCCAAGAAGAAGAGAGGUAAAAUUCUACCCACCACCAUUUUUUUUUUUUUUUUAACUUUGAGGAUUCAAAAAGGGGCGGUAGGACAUUUUCGCCUUACCUCCAGAUUUUUCCUGGAGUUUAUUUUUGCCUUCUGUGAUGCAUUUAAGCUCUAUUGUUCCCAGUGUAUUUAUUUGUAAAAUGGAUUUAAUUCUGUUCUUGUAAAGCCUUUAGAAAGGUCCGUCAGGGGCAGGCAGGGGUACACAAUGCUUAAGAAUGAUGUUAAGGUUUUAAAAGAGAUUUAUUUGACCCUGAGGCCAAAUGGCACAGCCUGCAAAUGUGAUAAAUCUAGCAAAUAAAUAAACAAAUAAAUAAAUAAACAUAAAUGCCUUUGAGGAGGCAACAGGCCAAUAGGCAGCUUCGCAGUUGGCAUUUGCUUUUACAAGAGCACUUGUUAAUCCCACAUGCUCAGGACAGUUAUAAAGGUUUCAUUUCCUCUCCAGACCUUACUUCCCCCGCGGGUGUAUGGAGUGGAACACUUUAUUUGAGACCAGAGUCGUGAAUGUACUCCCUGCAAGGUGAUGACUUCAUGUAUAUUGAUAUUGCCAGUAGGGGUUUAUUUUCUUUCUUGCGAGGCUGUGAUCGUUUGAAGUAAGGAACGACGACCAAUACAGCUCUUUGCACAGAGCUUUAUACGUAGAAUGUGUUUGAGAAACACUUGUUAAGUGAAUGAAUGAAGAAGGUCCUAUUUACAGCUGUACCCCCAGCACCAAGCACCGUGCCAGCACCUGGGAGGUGCUCAAGAAAUACUUGUCAAAUGAAUGAGUUGUGCCAAUCAUGGUUCCAGCAGGUGUUUCUAUCUUCAGUACUCUUGCAGAUCAGAAGCAAGGCAAUAUUGCAGUUUUUCCGUUGCUGGAAAGGCACAUUGUCAUUAUCUGAAAAAGUCAGCCUCAGGACUUAUCUCAGUGACAUGUGGUGCUGGAUUGUAGAAGAGGGAGGAGAGAAAGGCUAGAGAAUGAGAGGAGAGAGAAUCAGAAGCACAAAUGCCAAACAUAUCUGUCUGUCUGUCUACCAUUCAUCUAUGUAUCGUCUACUGAUGCAGAUAUACACACGUAUAUGAAACUAGGUGUUGAAAUUUAUUAAUCAACGUGGAAAACUAACAUCCGCAUUUAUUUCCGUCUCCAUCUAUUUAUAUAUAAAUGUAGUUUGUGCCUUUCUCCUGAGUGAGAGACCUGAGUUCCACUGCUGUGGGACAUUUCUGCCUGUAUGCCCACUGACAGCCUAAACUCUGUCGUGUGUCCUUGAGGACCAAGCGGUUGGGCCAUCACAGAAGUCAGCUGUACCCAUCUCAGGAUCCACUUUAGAUAAGGUCUCUAUCUCAACGAUCCCCUCCCACUGUUUUACAUGGAAAUUUUCUAGGGGUUCCAUCACUGACGUGCUGCAGGUAUCUGUGUAAAGUCUACUCCUACCACCCUUUGUGCUGCUCAAAAACCUUCAGUGGCUCCUCAUUAUUUAUAGGUUGAAAUUCAAAUGCCUUAGUCUUGUUUUUAAAGAACUUUAUAACCUUUCCUUGGAACUCUCUCCUAAGACUCUUAAGACUCUAUUUAUAAGACUCUAUUUAUAUUCCACUUUUCUAGCCGGGCUUGUACUUUUUCUAGAGAAACGGCUGUUCAUUUCCAUUUCCCCUCAGUGACCCUCAGUGAGCACCCUGCUAUAUGCCAAGCCCUAGAUAACAUUUUGUUUGUUUCUUCACCGGUUCACUGGACACAGGAAUGCCAGCUCUCCCUCCUCCCAGCUGAGCCAAAUCCUGACAUCCUUUAAGCCUAUCUCAAGUCCUUCUUUCGCCAGGUAGCCUGCUUUGACAAUCCCAGCCAUAGUCCUCUUUCCCCUAUUUGGGCUGGUCACUUACUAUUGUGUGUUGAUAUAUCUUUUAAUGUUUGCCUUGUCCCCCUAAUUGCAUUGUAAUUGCGUUGUCUGCUCCCAUGAGGGAAGAGUUCCAUCACAGCCUGUCUCUCUCUCUCUCUCUCUCUUUCUCUUUCUCUCUCUCUCUCUCUCUCUCUGUGUGUGUGUGUGUGUGUGUAUUGCUUGCUAAAGGCACUCCUUAACUGGGGGCUAAUUGAUUGUGUAACUACUUUUCAACAUUUUGAACCUUUUAUUAUUUUCCAAAUUUGUACCACUUUAACAAAAGUGCCUUUGAGGCAAACAUAAUUUAUUAUACAAAAAUUUCAAAUCUCAGUGUUAAUAUACACAUAGAUUUGUUUAUUUAAUUGUUUAUUUAUACACAUCAUUUUAAACAAGGACAUUUAAAACACAAGUUUGUCCUUUCAACUCUCCUUAACCAACAUUUUCUUUUCUGGAAUGUUGGUAAAAAAGUAAACUUAUCACACUCAUUUCUACUUUGUGAGCUCGAAAGGAUUGGAGAAAGGUCUGCCUCAGGCCCAAUCUUUCCCUCGUUCCUGGUGGAGUAGUUGAAGGGUCAUAAGGAAAGAUUGUAUUGCUGAGAAGUCUGGUAAAAUCUCCACCAUUGACUAACUAUUGACUAACCAUGCUACUUUGGGUGAGACACCCAUGUCUUAUACUUCAGUGUCCUCAUCUAUAGAAAGGGGGAAGAGGGGUGCCUGGGUGGCUCAGUUGGUUAAGUGUCUGGUUCUUAAUUAUGGCUCAGGUCAUGAUCUCAUGGUUCAUGGGAUUGAGCCCUAUGUUGGGCUCUGCGCUGACAGCACAGAGCCUGCUUGGGAUUCUUUCUCUCCCUCUCUCUCUGCCCCUCCCCUGUUCUCUCUCUCUCUCUGUAUAUAUCUAUAUCUAUAUCUAUAUCUAUAUCUAUAUCUAUAUCUAUAUCUAUAUCUAUAUCUAUAUCUAUAUCUAUAUCUAUCUAUACCUAUCUAUACUUAUCUAUCUAUCUAUAUAUCUAUAUCUAUAUAUAAAUCUCAAAAUAAAGAAAUAAACUUAAAAAAAAGGGUGGUGAUACUAGCUGAGGUCAUGAGGUCAUGUAAUGCGCAGGAAAAUGUUCUGAGAACUAUAAAGGUCUAUCUAAAUGUUAGGUCUUAUCAUUGUCAUCAUCAUAUUACCAGCAUCCCAAUCACUUUAUCACCCCUGCCACCAUGUGCCCUCAACUCAGGCAUCAAGAUGAGAAAUGCUUAUCGGAGCUGAUGACUUCUUAUAGGAGGCAUCAAUCUGCCAUUUUCCAAAUGUGAGUGAUUUGUAGCUCAUACCUUCUUUUAUACAUUACAACUUCUGAGGACACUGAGUGGCGUAGAUCAUUUGCCUCUCUUGCAGCACCAGGGUCCCUUCUGGUUUUGUGACUCCCGCUCUCACUGCUGCAGUGGGUCUUUUGGAUUAUAAAAUGUCUCUGGGGAAUAGACUGGGAGUUUUAGUUUAACACUGUGAGCAGGUGGUCUUGCAUAUCGUUAUUUUUUUGAACCUAGAAAAACAUCAGCUGUAAAACACACCAUUAUUUCUGAAAUCCCCAAGAAAGGAAAAGCUAACAAUUUUCAAGUAUGCCACACCAUUGAUUACAGAUACAUUCCUAUUUCAGAGUUGUUGAAAUGUGAAAAAUGAGUGUCUGGGAAUUAGUCACAUACAGUGGGGUGAUGGCCGGAAGAGUUUGCUUUGAGUCUUCUAAGCCCCAGCCGUGGUGGGUCCUGGGAUCUCUGUGCCGCCUCCCCCUGCCCCGGCCUCCUUUGUACACACAUGCUGCUAAGCACUCCUAGGCUGAGUGGCCACUGGCUGACGUCCUGCUUCUCCCAGGCUUUUCGUUCUGUGUCCUAUAAGGGCAGUGGGAGGAGGAGUUGGUAUGGGCAGAGGGUGACGACAGGCGAUGCCACCCCCUUUGUCCGCACUUCGUCUCCUUGUUGCUAUGUUAAAAUUUUUUUUAACAUUUAUUUAUUAUUGAGAGACACAGCAUGAGCAUGGGAGGGGCAGAGAGAAGGGGAGACACAGAAUCCGAAGCAGGCUCCGGGCUCUGAGCUGUCAGCACAGAGUCCUAUGUGGAGCCCGAACUCACGGACUGUGAGAUCAUGACCUGAGCUGAAGUCGGAUGCCUAACCACCUGAGCCACCCUGGCACCCNCCCCCCCCCCCCCCCCCCACCACCCCCGCCACCCUGUUGCUAUGUUAAGUCAGCCUGGUAAGAAACUGCCCCAGAGGCAGAGCCUUCCAGGUCGGAGGAAGCACAUUCCUGGGCUUAUAUGUUCUCUUAUCCAGAGGCACUGGAAGAUCAAGUGCCCACUUGAGGCUUUUCCCAGCCCUGAGUAGCUCCUAUUUGGUCAGGGUUCAUCUUGUGACAGGGACCUGCCAAAGUGACAGUAACCUGAUACACUCGGCCUGGGCUAAGAGCAAAGUGGUUUUCUUUUUUUCUCAGAGAUAGAAGCGAGGGCUGGAGGUAAGCAGAAGGUUCAAAGCUAUUUGCAGCAAAAGGCCCGAUCCCUGCCCUUGCAUGCGCGGGGUGGGGGCAGGGGCGGUCACCCGUGUUCUCAGGUGUCACUGCCAGUGGCAGAUAUUUCAGCACCUCUUUUCCUUCAAACGUCUUGGGUUUCAGAGAGGGAGGUAACCGGACCCUUCACAUUUGUUACAGUAAUGCUGUUUCAGGCCCUGUUCCUUGACCUUACAAGUCACCUGCUCCUCUUGAGAUAUUGUCACCCUGUGGGGUGAGACGUCUACUAUCCAGAUUUUGCUGACGAUACUGGGAGUAAUGUGCAGCUCUAACUCAGGUUUAUCAUUUAGUGUGGCUCUUUGGGUAGCUUUUGGUAGCAAAGUGUGUUAUUCUACAGUGGCUGUGGAAAGGGUUUAACUGCUUUCAUUUGCAUAAUGAGUUAGAAGGUUCUGUGGAUGUUGCCUCUGACCCCUGAAAGGUUGUUUAAUCUCUCCAUAGACUUUCCGUCUGCAGUACAAGUCUGUUCUCUAAGCAUUGGAGAGGAGAGGCUUUUCAGUGUCUUCCCAGCCCUACCUCAGGAAGCCCAAACUCCUUAGUAUAACAUUCGUAGCCGAACCGGUCAGGACUCUUGGCUCAAACUAGCUCAAGGGAGAUCAGUUAAUGGCUCAUGUGACUGAGGAGUCUAAGGAUGGAUCUAGAGCCUCAGACAGAGGUGGGUGCAGGGGCUCAAUCAACGUCUUCUGGGCCCUGUCUCUGUCUGUCACCUCCUGGCUUCAGGUCCCUCAUUGUCAUGGCUUCACUCUACAGGCACAGUCUGUUCAGAAAGUGGGGAAGAUGGCCGCCCACAUGCAAACUGAUAAUCUUUCAACAUAGGAAGAAAGAAGCACUUCUUUUUUCUGUUAUCGUGUGAAGCCAGGGAAGCCCUGAUUGACCCUACUAGGAUCUUGUGUCCAGCCCUAGACCAGUCAUUCAUGCCAGCUCUGAUUAGGUCCUCCCGAGCCAUGUGCCCACCCCAUGACUGUGGAUGCCUGGUCUCAGUGAUGACAGACCCACUGGGACCACAUAUAGUGAAGGAGGAGCAGCUGUCUAAAGGCAAUAUGGGUGGCGGGUGUACAAAAACACCCCCUGUCUUCUGUAAAGGUCCUGUAUGGUUUGGCCCCUUCUGUCUGUCAAGCUCCUCUCAAGAGUCCCGAAUGGCCUCUUACCUACUGAUCAGAUUAGACUAUUUUCUCUGGUGAAGAUCUGACUUCAGCUUACCACCUUAUUUUCUUUACCCCCAGUGUCCCCUGGAAUUUCUUCUUCCCCUUCUACACUUGUCAAAAUUCUUCUUAGCCUUCAAGGCAUAAUUAAAAUGUUACUUCCUUCAAAACUUUUCCCUAUAUUUCUGGUCUUUCCACAUGGCAGUCAAAGGAUUUGGCUGGCAGCACAUUUGUGAAGUUUGUCUGUUCUUCCCUCUAUUUGCACCUGCUUACGUGUCUGCCCCAGAAAUGCAAAGAUCAAACUAGUCAUUUAGUAUUGUCCCAGUGUCACGUGGGAGAUAGGCAAUAAAAAUGUGUUGGAUGGAUAAAAGUUCUCUCAAGAUCUUUUUUGAGAGGAUCUCAUGUGUCGGAUCUACCCAAAUACAUAUGCGCAUACAUUGUCAGAGGUUGAGUUCACGUAUGUACUAUCUGCUUACUGAUAAACACAGAGCACUUUUGUAUAUUCCCAGCAGCACUCCGGGAAUGACAUUGAUAUUUUAGUUACAAGUAUACUGUCUCAUCUGGUAACUUUUCCAUCUCGGGAUUUGGGAGCAGAACAAACUGGGAGUGGGGUCAUGGAAGAAAUUCUGUGAGGCCAAAAAAACCCCCCAAACUGGGCGGGUUGUGGGAUUGAAUCACAUCACCUCUGGGAAAAGAACAAAAGCUAGGGGAGGUAGCUGAGCGUAAUGGGUAAGAAUGCGCCUCCAGGUUUGAGGCCAGUUCCCACUGCUUGUUAGCUGUGUGACCUUGGGCAAGUUAGCAAAUAUCUCUGAGCCUCAGUUUCUAUGUAAAAUAGAGACCAUAGAGCUUUUAUGUGGCAGGAUGAUUGUGAAAACAAAACAAGAUAAUGCAUGCAAAGUACCUAACAUAAUACCUGGCUACUAGUAGGUACUGCCCCUGCCCCAUCCUCUCUCUCUCUCUCUCUCUCUCUCUCUCUCUGUCUCUCUGACACACACACACACACACACACACACACACAGACACACACACACAGAGGUGGUGGUACAAAUAAUUGCAUGAUUUUUCUUCAGUGUGACCAGCCACACUGGGGAGGUCCAUACUGGGAAUGCAUUAAAGAAUGCUCUCUCUCUGUUCUGACUGUGGUUAUCUGGCUACUAUUGUUGCGAUCUAAUGACCAGAAUGAUGACCGCAGUGAGAGGUGGGAAUAUGUGGAUGGCCGGGAGCCAGUUGCCUCUGUUGAGAACUGCAGUGCUGGCGUUGACAGCAGCAGUGGAUGACUGGAUGACGGGUUUUUAUUUCCACUGCGUCUGAAAUGUGCAAUUAGCCUGGAGAGCGAGGAGAGCAGAAACCCCCUUUGUCCAGAUGACACCUGGUGUGUGGACGAGCCCCCCCGCCCCCGUCUCUGGCUAAAGGAUCUGCAUGUUCAGGGAAGGAGACUAAGCCAUUUUCUGGAUUAACUCUGUGUUUAUUUGUAAUAAACUAUUGUAGGCGCUACAGGAAAGGAACCCCAGAAAGUAGUCCACUGCCAGAAUGAUGACGACUCCUGGAACUUUCUCUGAUUCUUAUUCUCCCUCCUACCUUGCUCAUCAUCUUAUGUAUUCAAAUCCUUCUUGUAUUUAUAUAGAACAGCUACGAUGCUUCACCCAGACCAUUGCACAUCACAUCAGAGAGGAAGACACAUGUGUGAUUCAUUUUCUUAAGCCUCAAGUCUAAGGAUUUACCUAAGGAUCCAGGAAUGUCAUGAGGUAAGUUUUGGAAGUGUCUGAGGUGGUCUGAUGAUUAUCGAUUGGCAGGCUCACCUCCUCUUCCACUAAUUGGCUAUGGGUUUACAUUUACAAACUGUGACCCACCGUGUUGAUAAUCUGAUGGAACAUUCUAGAAUGUGGAGAAAAGUAAAUGGAUGGUCAUGAGUGUGCUUACGCCCUGUGUAGCAGUCCUGGACACCGAAGGGAGGCCCUCAGGAGCCAUAGAGUGUUGGGAUGGGGUCAGGACUGGAGGGCUUUAAAGGUUAUCUAUGCAGACCCAGUCAUUUUACUAAUAGAGAUCCAAAGAAGCUGUACUUUCUGUCCAGGGCUCCCCAAGCAUUUAUUUAGUUUCUCUCUUCAUGUGAGGAUUGAUCACAUUGCAUCAUGAUUACUCACGAGUCUAUCUCCCUGUGCGUUCAGAUUCUUCAGCUGUAAGUAACAGAAAACUCAACUCACACUACUUUAAGCAAAAAGGGGACUUGAUUGGCUCAGUAACCAAAGAGUUCAGCUGGAUCCAGAGGCUUUAACAAUGCUCUUGAGAUCCAGUCUUUCUCCGUUUCUCAGUUUUGCCUUCCAUUGAGCUGGCUCUGUUACUCAGGCGUGCUUUGCCUGGUGAGGCCAAAUGGCUGCCAGCAGCCCUACAAAUAGAUCUCCCCAGCUCCAAAUCCAGAAGAAAAAAGAAGACACGUUUGUCUGCUAAAUUGGCUCACGUUGGCUGUGAACCACUCCUGAACAAGUCAUGUGGCUCUAACGGGCCAGCCGUGGGGCACAUGCCCUGAAGCUGGGGAUGGGGUCAGUCCUACCUAAACUGCAAGGAGUGAGGGGGAAGGUGGGUGCUCAAACAAUAUCUAGGGCACCAUUGUUAGAAAGGAGGAAGAACUGGGGUGCCUGGGUGGCGCAGUGGGUUGAGCGUCCGAAUUCGGCUCAGGUCAUGAUCGCACAGUUGACAGGUUCAAGUCCUGCGUCGGUCUCUGUGCUGAUAGCUCAGAGCCUGGAACUGCUUCAGAUUGUGUCCGUCUGUCUCUCUCUCUCUGCCCCUCCCCUGCUCAUGCUCUGUCUCAAAAAUAAAUAAACAUUAAAAAAAAAAAAGGAAGGAGGAAGAACAGAAGCUGAGCAUACGAAGAAAAAUAAAUAUCUCCUGCCCUCCCAACUCAAAUGUGAGCUCUUUAAUAGAAAGACAGUGCCCAUGAAUUUUGCUUCUGCCCUGCUUCCUAGGGCAUUCCUACCCAUGACCAGGGAAGCAGAGACUCGUACAUGGUGACUAUCGUGAAUUUCUAGCUAUGGGAACAGCUGGGCUAAUUCUUAGUGUGAGGUUUUCACACCCUUGAUAUUGGUGACAUGGUGGCUUCUGGAAAGGCUUAAAAUCAUCUAUGCUUUUGGCAUCGUGUCCCUUCCAUUUAAACAGUGUAUUUAAGAACGUAUUUUAACUUUGCUGUUCAAAGUCGGAAACGUCAACGGCCUUGGUUUUGACCAACGCCAUGUUCUUUGGCAAAGUGAUUGGCACUUUGGUAGUUCUUCCUAACUUAUAGGUAUGCCAAACCUGUAGUUAUAGUAGGGAUUCAACUUGGCUAAAUGCAUUUGUACUGGACACAUCUCACGAAUAUCUUCAGAUUCUCUGGGCUUUGCCUCCAGGCUCUCAGCCGCUCUCUCUGCUGAGUCCCUCCUAUGGCUUUCACUCGCUGAAGGCUGACAUCAUUCUGCAGCCUGACGCCAUGCUGUCACACACCCACCUCUCUGGUUCUCUGUGACAUCCUGGCUCCGAUGGAAUGCUGCCCUGCAGGCCAUGGGCUGUGUCAUAGGGACUAGAUGGUUCAACCUGGAAGUGCGGGGUGUUAACUCCCCAUGGUGCACUCAUUGACCAAUGGCAAACAGGAGAUAGACAGGAAAUUGGUAAAAACAUUUCCUCUCCCUCCUCCUGCUCCAGAUUCUUUGAGGCCCACGGUGAAGCAUCGCUUGGCCUUGCUUUUUAUCCUUCCCUGCCUCGCUUCUCUUUCCUUUCACUUCUGUUGCCCCGAGGCUAUACCUGCCAAAGAAAGCAACAGAACUUAAUUCCUGCUUCUGGCUCUGUUUACUAGGAAACCUGGUCUAACACAUUAUUUCGUGUUUAUGUCCCAUUUACUCUCAAAGCUGCAGAAGAGGGUUUUAAGUCCAGUCAUCUUGAUUGGCUUUAAUAAAAUGGGGUUUCUCCCUCUUUGCCUAUUUGUAAGAUGAAUAAACUGAGGCAUGCAGUGGAUGUAACUUGGUCAACAUUACAGGCUUAAUCAUUGGGCCACUUAAACACAGAAUCUGAGUUUCCCAUCUCCCCAUUGAAGGUUCUGCACCCAAUCACAAGGUAAGCCUACAUCUGCAUGUACAAAGUGUUAGGGAAUAAUUGGGACAAAUAUCCCAAUCAUUCAAGCUAGGCAAACCAAACCAAAAUAGCUACAUAAUUGAACUCAAUGUCUCCACUUCACAUUGGGACUCUGGAAACAGCCAAAGACAUGCUACCCCAAUCUUGCCAUUGUGUUGUUAUAAGUGCUCCUGAUGGUGGUGUGUAUGUAUUUUUAAACAGCUGAUUCCCAUUUCUUUUUUACAUUUGUUUUUAAUGUUUAUUUUUUACAUUCGUUAUUAAUGUUUAUUUUUUGCACGUGCAAGCAGGGGAGGGGCAGAGAGAGAGGGAGACACAGAAUCCGAAGCAGGCUCCAGGCUCCGAGCUGUCAGCACAGAGCCUGAUGUGGGGCUCGAACCCCCAAACCGUGAGAUCAUGACCUGAGCCGGAGUUGGACACUUAACCGACUGAGCUAACCAGGCACCCCCAUUUCUUAAAAUAUUUUGCAUUUUGGGCCAAAUUCAUUUGCUUUUUAACUAAUGGAGAUGAAAAUAAAGUUUCAGCAAAGAUAAUAGACUCUUCACAGGAGGGGAAAUGUCAUGAUACAUAAAACAUUUCAGACUUGGCUACAGACGUAGUAUAAACAUGAAGGUAAGGUUAAUUAGUACGUGUAUAUUUUGUGCUCUGGUGUCUUAUUGAUUUCAAAGUGACUCUUUGCCAUUGUUACGAGUUUGCUUAAAAUGAGCUUUUUAAAAAAGAUCUGAAAUUAUACUCAAAUACUUAUAGAAAACCAGUAAUAAAGAGGAAUCAAUUACAAGAAAAAAAUUCUGGUGAUAGGAUAAGCUCCAGUCCAAACCUAAAAGGAAGAUGUUAUGGUUCCUGAACUUUCCUCUGUGUGGUGGCUAAUAUUUAGGGUAAGGAGUGGGUGCUUGAGUUGCCCUGAUUUAUAUAGAAAUUUUUUAAAUUCAUAAUUGUGUUAUGUUGGGGAUCCUACUCUCUUUCAAGUAUUUUCAUUAAAAAAAAUUAAGUUUACUUUAAUUUAUUUUGAGAAAGAUACAGAGAGCAAGUGAGGGAGGGGAAGCGAGAAAAGGAGACAGAAUCCCAAGCAGGCUCCGUGCUGUCAGCACAGAGCCCAGGGCGGGACUCGACCAGACAAACAGUGAGAUCACGAACUGAGCUGAAAUCAAGAGUCGGAGGCUUAACUGACAGAGCCACACAGUUGUCCCUCAAGUAUUUUUAAGUAGUUUUUAAAAAAUGUUUAUUUAUUUUUGAGAGAAAGAGAGAGAGAGAGUGAGAGGCAGAGCACGAGUGGUGGAGGGACAGAGAGCGAGGGAGACAGAGAAUGUGAAGCAGGCUCCAGGUUCUGAGCUGUCGGCCCACCGCCUGACGCGGGGCUCAAACUCACGGACCUUGAGAUCAUGACCUGAGCUGAAGUCAGACACUUAACUGACUGAGCCACCCAGGUGCCCCACCCCCAAGUAUUUUUCAAGCACAGUUGAGGAUCUGAUGCUCAGAAUGCAGGUGUUUCAUCAUGGCACUACAGUCAGCACAGCAUACAUUCACCUGCAAAGACAACGCAUCAAUCCAGCAGGAAAGACACUCAUGCACACAGGCAGCCCAAAUUGUCAAUGACACACCAACAGUAAGAGCACGAUAGUGCUUUCUGACACCCGUUUAAAACUGCAUGAGUGGUGACUGUUCUAGAACAACAGCCAAUUAUAUACAUACUUCAAGUACUUAAAGUAGAAAAACUCUUGGCUUUAAUGAAUGUGCAUCUAAAAGAACUGAAGAAAAGUUUUACUUUGCUCAAUGUUUCCAAACCUAUCAGUUUGGAAAACGAUGGUUUUAGGUUUUUGAUUGGCUCCCAGCUUGGAUUUUGAUUUUUUCUGUAGCUUGGGUCCUGGAACAAAGAGGGAAAACGAUGAAGACUUCAUAGAAAAUCUUGAUCAGGCAUUCAGAGAAAGGCCACAGCUAUAUUUUUUCCUGGAAAGACCAAUAUGAAAUACCAUUCACAUGAUGUAGUUGGGAAUUACGAAGAAGGACAGGGCCUAAGCCAUGGUGUCCUUGUGGGAGAGACUGUUAGAAAGAAAGGCAUGACAUCUUAUACUUAUUUAUUUUUUUGAGAGAGAGAACACUGACGGACAAAGAGAGAGGAAGAGAGAGAGAAUCCCAGCACAGAGCCAGCACAGAGCUCUGCCAGCACAGAGCCUGAUGUGGGGCUCAACUGCAUGAACUGAGAGAUCAUGAUCAGAACCGAAAUCAACAGUUGGAUUCCUACCUGACUGAGCCACCAGGUGCCCUAAAGGCGUGAUAUCUUUUAACAUCUCACCUGUCAACCUUUGCUGAAAUGAUAGGUGAUGUGUUGAUCAGUUCUCAUGGAAAUCUGAGAAUUUAUCACGUUCUGAUCAAGUGUAUGGAACAAAUGGAAACCAAGAUGAGCCAGAUUCUUCUCUCUUGAUUCUUUCAUCUCCGGAGUCUUAGAAGAAACUUGGAAAUUUCAAAAAGCUCUCUGUUUCCCAAGAAAGAUAAGGAGGUUCCAGAAAGGAACAACAAUUGGCUAUUUGGUGUUGUGAACUUGUCAACACUACUUGACAGAGAAGCAAAUGGUGCAGAGCAAGAAAACUGAGCUUUGAACCUUGGAACAUUUUCAAACAAAGAUCUUCUGCCAAAGAAUCUUUAAUAUCUAUUACUGCCUCUCAAAUUAUAAUAAAAAUACCAUGAAAUUCAAUGAAACACAUUCAUUUCCAAUAUACAACAAUGCUAGGCUUUUGGUCCCAAUUAAGCACAUAUUUUUCCAGGGCGUUGUGCUUUGUGAGAAUUUGUUUUCUCACAAAAGGUUAAACAGUUCUUUCACAUGAACUGCUUCAGUUUCUAAAUGCAUAAGCCGUAAUAAAUGUUAAACGUUAGAGAAAAAAGAUCAUGGGACAGAAUUUGUUUGACGAUUAGCUCUUUCUGGCUGUGGAAGCACCAUGAUACUCAACUUCAUUUUGGAAUAAGAUCAACUUUUUCUCAUUACUUAGUUUAAGGAUUAACUGGACACCAGCAUCUUGAGAAAAAUCAUCUGUGGCUGGUUCAUUUCUGUGCUGUUUCAAUCCCGCUUUUGGGCUCCAUGGCUUGUUCAGCCCUCAGCUGAGCUAAUGAUGAAUGCUCAUAUCAGGAAUGCAUCAUUAUUAACCUUAGUAACAAGCUGAGCCAUGUUACUCUCUUACCUCUUCCUUUGUUCCGUUAUCUCCUUCCAUUCCUUCUCCUUGUAUAUUUAAGAGCAAAACAAGUGUUUGAAAAUUAAAGGGCACGAUAUUUUUCAAAGCUAGUCAACUGUAUGAAAGAAACGAGGAAAAUCUUACAUAUUUGGAUUAAAUUUAUAGUCCACUGCUAUGAAGAAGGCACUCAAUGCUCAUUACUCCCAACCAGAGUUAAUUUUAUCUUUAGAAUGACUUUACUUUUCUUAGUUAAGUUCCCUUUUAAAAAGCCAGUCUUCUCCUAGAUAAUGAUUAUUCUAGUAAAUUCAUUAUAAUCCAUGAGGUCUGGGAAAGUGAAGCAAAGAUUAAUGUGCCUGUGUAUCUUUAAUCCCUGGUCUAAGAUCAUUGUUGAGGUUCAGGGUCUUGGAAAAAUUUAGCCUUAUUACUGUUUAAGGAUCUGACAGUCAGCUGUCUCUGUACUUUUAACAGAUCAAUUCAUUCAUUUUUUCAAAUGAGCUUUUCCAAAAUGCUUCUGUGCAGUGCCAAGAAUAUACUUCUCAUAUUUAAAUUUAAGGCUGAUAUAUUGGAUUUCUUUUCUUAGUCAAUUAUUUUUGUUUUUUCCGACUCAUUCUGUAUCUCAAUUCCUUCCAACUUAUUGCUGUUUUGUCAUGAGGGCUGUGAAUGUGGCUAAUAGAAAAUCGUGGAUCAUUUUAAAAGUAAUGAAAUUUACCUUUGAAUAUGGGUAUAUAUGAUGUUUUAGAAAUUCGUAACAUUCCAAGGAACAUGUUAGAGCCAUCCUCACAGGAUUUGUUCCAGUGGGGAUUACAGGUGGUCAUUCAAAUCCUCAGUUCCUGUCCCACUGUGGAGAGAGACAGAAAGACAGAACUCUUAGCACAAGGCAACCUGCUAAGCAAACAUCUAUGUUUCUGGCUCAGCAUUUUCCUGAGUUGGUGAGUAGGGAAGAAGUUAGGUAUUAUUAUGUUGAGUGCCUCUUACCGAGUCUCUUGGUUUGCAUGGGAGAGAAAAUGAAAGACAGAAGAGUGGUGUUUAGGACAGAUUUUAUUGCUCUUUUAUAAGAAUCUGACAAGCGUAGGCUGGUUCACAGUGGGGGUAUCCUCACACAUAAGUAAGAGUGAAUUGUCUAAACUUAUAUAGAGUCUAAAUGGUAGCAACCACUUAUUCCAUUGAAUUUGAACCGUAGCAGGUUUGGUUUAAGGUUAUUCCCAAUGUAACCGGUCAGUGGAAGUUACUAUAAGAAUAUACAAUCCACAAAGAUAGUACCCAAUGGCUAUUAUAUGCCAGGAAGGAAGCCUUACUGUCAUUGAGGACCCAACGGACUAUUUAAGUCCUGCUAGCACACUGCAAAGAAAAAACGGGAGAGACACAGUCCCUGAUAUAAUAGAUGGUGGAAUGUGGGGCCAGAGAGGGCUAUGUCAACCUCUUGGUUGGGUGCAGUCAAGAAUUCGUUGAGAAAGGAGUAAACAAAGAUGGUUGUCUUUCCAACACAGAUGAUUUGAUAUUCAGAUCUCAUACUAUUGGGCCUUCCACUGAGAAACAUUUGGAACCCGUGGUCUGUGGUAAGGCCAGAAGUGUGAGCAUCUCACAACACUGGAUCUGAAAUCCUUGUGAAAAAUCAUGAGGAGGAGGGAUGGGGUUAUGGCGCUUUGGAGGGUGACGUGGAGCCCCUGGAUGGGAACCCAGGUUGCCAUUCAGCACCCAGGAGCUCCAAGCAUCUGCUCACUCGGGGCUACUCCAAGUGACAUUUUGAAGUAAUCCAUCCUGAGCGAAAUGCUCCCUGUAUCUUUUUAGAUAGUAACUGAAGUCUUUUAUCGGUGGCACUCUCCCCCCCCCUCCGCCCCCCGCCAGGAAGUUAGAGCUCUUUGCGUGCAUCCCUGCCUAUCUGCCCAAUCCCUUAGGUUGGUUUCCUCUCAGCUUCCGCGAUGAAAAUGUGCAGAGAUUGCAACCAAAGACCUGCAAAGCAGUUUGGAAAUGUUCAUUCGUUAGUGAACCCUUAGUGCCUCCCAUGACUGCUGCAACUUCUGUUGGUACAGAUGGCAAAGGGCUGGCUCCUGAGUGUGUCUUCCUGAGGCCAUAGAGCAGGAAGAUGACAAUCAAGUCAUCUCUUUCUCUCUUAUCAUGCUGCCCACUUGCUCCUCUGCAUAGAGCCCCAGUGCCAAAAAUCUAGUUCAUUCCAAAUAUCCCCAGGCACAGUCUUCAUGUAGGUGGCACAUAUUCCGAGACCCAGCAUCUGGAUGCCUGAGACCAGGGUAUUGCUGCGUGGAUGGACUUCAGCCACUCCAGAUGGGGUUUAUGUUCAGGAAGUAUGGGACCCCUGCAGAGCCUUCAGAAUGAAGGAGGAAAUAAGAGAUAGAAAAGAGAUAGAUAUCAUGGCCCUGGCAGCACAGAGAGGGCUUUAUGUACAUGUUCUUACAGGAUUUGGCUAAACAUCGUGUACGGUUUAUGUGAAAGUGGGAAGCCCUGUAAUCCCUGUCCCUGAAGCGCCAUAGAAGUAUUGCAACAGAAAGGCCAGCCAGCCUUGGGGCUUGGCAGUGGCUCUCUCCAGCACUCAGUUUGGUCCAAAGUGCUGCCAUUACCAUUUGCAUGUAGCUCCCUGUAAUGUGCAAAGGCUACCAGGAAAAUGCUAGCAGUCACAAAUGCUGCCAUCACAGGACACAGAAAGACAACCACGUAUCUUUGUAGGAGGCCAUCAUGGCUCGGAUUUACCUCCCUUGUUUGAGGCAGAAUCCAGAGAGGGUAGAGAGAGGAGAGGAGGGGGUAAGAGGCAAUAAGGCAAUUUUUGCCAGCGAAGCCAGGAAGCUCAGGUAAACGCACCCCUUCUUUGUCGUUUUUGGGUCUUCGGGGUGAUCGGCUGAGGCCGAAGAGUCUUUGGGGGCGAACCCAAGUUAGCUUGUGUGUGUGUCUGGCCUUGAGGAAAGGAGAGAGCAAGGCAGAAAAACAAAAGUGGGAAGUGGUUGCUUGGAGCUGAGUUUGGCUUAGGGUUUUGAACUCCAUUUGAGCCUUUGGGCUCCAAGCAAAACUCAAGGGGGAACGAAAGCCACAGGAACCUAAACAAGGCUAAGGCUUGGCAGAAAGCCCUUUGUGGGGCCAAGGGCUUUUCACACAGCUCUGCCUAUGCUGGCCUUUCGGUGGUGGGUCCACCUUCCACCACAAAUAGCAUUUCUUUGGGCUCGUGUGAACCAGUCAUUGAAUGUAUUCAGUCAGGACUUCAGUUUUCCCAGAAGUAGAACCCCUCUUUGACACCUAAGACUGUGUCCUUGGCUGGCAAGUUAUUUACCCCGUAGCCCAGCCAGGCAAGGAAAUGAUGUUGUUUUUGUGAAGCAAUUCACCCUGGGGUUGAAGAGAUGCGGGGGGUUGUAAAAGGAAAAUAUGAACAGAAAUUUGGAGCUGAGACUUAGACUCUGAUGGGUGAGCCCCCUUUCUCUAUAAUAGUCCUAGAAAAACAGAGGUGAUGUCGUCAUAGCAGCUGCUGAUGGCCUGACAGACAGUUUCCGCAGCGCUACAUGAGGCCCUUUGGUGUCCCUGUCAGGAGAUUGGCGGCUGAAUGACACCAAUGAGGCCAGGCCUGUAUUCCCUCUGGGAAUGCCGCCCUAAUUGAUAGACAGAAGGCAAAGAGAAGGAUUGUUUUUGAACCUGAAAAGAAUCCCCUUUUUUUCUCCCUAAAGCUCAUGCCCCCACUCUCCACAGCUCUAUUUUCCCCUCCCCCCGACACUUUUUUUUAAAGGUGUUUUGUUCCCGAGCAGUUACAGGGCUUAAUGGAACCGAAUGACUUUUACCCUUCACAAUCUGUCAGUCAAAAGCCCGACUCCAGGACUGUUAAAUAAAGUCCUUUCAGAGGCAGACAGGAGAGGAAUGUGUCAGUCAGGCAACAGACCCUGUUGUGUUUUAAUCUGUCAGAGGGGUGAUGGGGGAGGGCAGUGGGCCCCAGGCAGGGCACAUUCCCAGCAGCCGUUAAGAGGCCUUGACAAAUCCAGGUGUGGAGCCAAAAUGUCACCCAAUCACCCACAUUCUUGAGGUGUGGGCUCAGAGCCCCCAGGCACUCGGGUUUGCAAUCAACUAUGAGAUGUUUGGGCAAACUUUCAGCACAGGCUUCAGACUAAGCAUUUUUAACAUAAAACCAACCACUAAGUGCUGGGUAUCGGUACAAGGCAUGGCUUUCAAAUUAAUAUCCCGCUUAGCCUCGAGCCCUGCAGACAGUAAUCCUCCAACUGAAGGGCCUUCACGUAGACUCCAAUUCCAAACCAAUUUUGCAGAGCCACUUUCGUUUUUUUCUAAUACUUUCCCUUCACAUUAUAUGACAAUCCAUUAAUCUUGCCCAUUAACUUAAAAUUGCUGGGCAAUUUUUUUUUUCUUUGAGAGCUCUGAACAGUUGCUUUUGUUCAGUAUGGAUUCAGAGCUUUCCAUAAUAAAAAAUGUCUACCGUUAGACAUACUAAUGAUCUAUUCCUUAUGUUUCAGUGACAUUUCCUUUAAGGGAUUAAAAAAAAAAAGUUGGAAGACAAGGGUAGAAUGGAAAUGGGGCAGAAGCGGUGGGGAAGUUAAUAUUUAAACAAACAGGGCUUGUUCUUAUCAGAAUGCUACAAAGUACCAGUGCAGAUAUUACUACAAAGGCUAAAGGCCUGAGUGUUAGGGCAGGAAAGCCACCCACCGACCUGGACAAGUGGCUUGCUCAUGGCGGAGGGGUCGGCGGGACAGGAGAUCCGCAGUGUCUCAACUCUGAGGGUUGUUUUGGCUCAGGGGUACACGUGGGCAUAUUAUUUAUUACUUACUUGCUUUUUUCCCUCUCUUUGGGAGACCUUGCACAAAACAAAGGAAUUUCUCCCCAUUUCCCGGUUGUCUUUUCUUCCAUAUGCCAUCUUCCACCUCCCAAUGCACAACUCCCAAGAUACACAGAAUGAGCAGAAAAUGAUGUCUCUCCUCUUUUCCCCCUUUUCACCCCGUGCCCAGAGCCAGGUAUCGGGGUGUCCACCUCCUAGCCAUCCCUGGGGCCAUUGUUGAUACUUGUGUGUGUUCAUUGUGUGAUGAGAAAUCCCCCCACCCUCUUCUCUCCUUCCAUCCCUCUCUAGCCAAAACAGAGAGGCUGUGUUUUCUUCUAUCCGUGCAUUCGGGCCUCUAGGGGUAAGCCGAUUUUCGACGAAUUAAAGUAAGAUGUGAAAGGCCUCUGGCCUGGGCUGAUAAACUGUCAUGUUGAAGUAGUUCUAAACAUGGUUAAAACAAAUGUGGCACACUUUAUGUUACCGGAGCUAAACAUUUGCCAAAGAAAUGGAUGUUCAGCAUUUUCCUACAAUAUAUAAGCCUGGAGACUCAAAACAGGCGAAACCCGAACUGAUUAACAGCAAAGCAAACCAGCUUAUUUCUGCAUUAGGGUGGAGAACCCCACUUCUCCCGAGUCCACUGAUAAAGUUCUGGAAGCUAAUCUCAGAAUCUAUUGCUCCUCUGCUGUUUACAUGGUGCUGAGUUAGAUCGGAGGCCCAAAGGAAACUUCACGGGAGCAAUCUUCCUCUAGAAUAUUAAUGAAGUCUUCAACUUCAGCCCUAGAAAUAUGUGCACUGAGGCUUCUCGAGUUCAUCCUUCACCGAUUAUUAAUGAUCUGCCACUCUUAGAAAAAAAGCCAUUUCUCGGCUCCCUUUCUGCCUGCCUUCCUUUCCCUCCACCUAAAACAAACAUUGCAUCUGGGGCACUGCUGGAAACACAGGGGCCUUCUUCACAAGGGAAACAGUUUUCCUUUAUGCCUGAAAUGCCAACGGAUACCGUGGCUUCUGUUUUUAACAUUAAUGGCUACACAAAAACUUGCAAGCAAACCCCUACAGCUGAUAGAAAUGCUUCUUGAAAUGGCAGUGUGUGCUCUAGUGGGAAAGAGAAACCUCUAGAUAAAGCCCUCAUCCCUCCAAAUUCUCUGUAGGUGGCAGUCAGAAAGCCGCUCUGGCUAAAACGCAAAUAAACACACAGACGAACAAAUAAACAAAAAUAAACCCCAAUCCUACUUGUUUCUCUGUCAGUCCCCAAGUUCAGUGAAAGCCCAGUGAGGAGCAGUUUCUCAUCCUUCCCGGGCCAUGUCUACAGCUGUGGAUGGAGACAGGCAGAGCCUGUUGGUAAGUCACGCCCUGGGGCAGCGUGGUGACACUCUCAGCAUUGGACUGGUGGUGCCCACAUAUGACCCAAAUCUCCUGUCCCCUCACUUGCAAAUGGAGCCCGUCCUGCGGUUUGUUGGUGGCUGGACAGAGCAGUCACAUAUUGGCCAUAACAUUUCUCAGCCUUCACAUUUAAUGAUUCUUAUGAAACCUACAUCCGGCUAAGUUUUCAUUCGUGAUGACACAGUUUCCUUCCUAGAGUUGUACAUGGAAGCAACUGGAAGCCGCAUUUGAAGGUGGUUGAAAAGUCCCGCUAUUUUAAUAUUCAGCAACUUUAGUGUGAAUUGCAAUAACGUGCUCUUGGAGUUUCAUCUGAAGAUGUCAAAACCAGAUUACCAAAAAGCCUGAGGAGCUGUCUCCAUGGGCAGAGCCUGGGGAAGUGAGACGCAAGUUUGCAAAUCAGUACAUCAGUGACUCGGGAUUGGCAACAGACUCAGAAAGUUGGCCACCGCUCGUCCAGUUCCUUUGUUAUCAGUUCUUACAUGAUUUCUUUCUUUCUUUCUUUCUUUCUUUCUUUCUUUCUUUCUCUUUCUUUUUUCUUUCUUUCUUUUUUUUAAGUUUUAUUUAUUUUGAGAGAAAGAGGAUGAGCAGGGGAGGGGCAGAGAGAGGGAGAGAAGGAGAAAGAGAGAGAGAGAGAGAGAGAGAGAGAGAGAGAGAGAAUCUCAAGCCGGCUUCAUUCACACUGUCAGUGCAGAGCCCAAUGUGGGGCUCAAACUCAUGAACCAUGAUUGUGACCUGAGCCGAAAUCAGGAGUCAGACGUUUAACUGACUGAGCCGCCCAGGCGCCCCAGUUCUUAUGUGACUUCUAGUCAAAUCAGAUCAUCUUUAUCAUCGAUUAUUUGAAAAUAAUAAUUUUAGUAAUGUUUAUUAAUUGUAAUAUGUUGAUUAGACAUUAUAUUAUGGUGUAACAGUAAUAAUAUAUGCUAGACGCACUCCACCUACAUUCUCUAUGCUUAUCCUACUUACACCACAAAGACCCCUGUUUGGGGGCGGUGUUUACAGCAAUUAAGGGAAUGACCUGUGGUGACAAACCGUGUGCUUUCAAACACGGGUACUGCCAGUUACCGUGUGUGAUCCUCAUCUAUUAAACAGGGGUGAUAAUGGCAUGCACUUCACAGGGCUUUUGUGUAACUAAAUGAGUUCACAUGUGGAAAGCCUCUAGAACUGUGCCUGGCACGUCCUAAGUGCUGCGUAAGUGCUGUUACUUGUUAUUGUUUGGUUCCACUGUGUGCAGCCGGCAUUAAUCACUCAAGACGUGGUUUCCACCAAUGAGAACAGUGUUUUUUUCCCUCCCCAUGACUUAUUCAUUCCCAAACUGGGAGCCUGGGUGCCCUGCUCUCCGAGGGCUAGCAUUCUUUAUCAACAACAGGCACUGGCCUGACCAUUGACCACUAUCCAUUCCUCCAACUGUUCUGUUGGUGUAUAAAACAGCUCCAAAAUGGCGUCAGUGAAUUUCUUGUGAGAAAGUGGUUUUUAAAAAAAAAUUUUUUUUUACUUUUUAAAUUAUUUUUGAGAGAGAGAAAGACAGAGAGAGAGAGAGAGAGAGAGAGAGAAUGCAAGUGAGGGAGGGGCAGAGAGAGAGGGAGACACAGAAUCUGAAGCAGGCUCCAGACUCUGAGCUGUCACCACAGAGCCUGAUGCAGGGCUCGAACUCGAUAACUCCAAGAUCGUGACCUGAGCCGAAGUUGGACGCUUAACCCACUGAGCCAGCCAGGUGCCCCAGGAAGUGGUUUUGAAAAAGCUUCUGGGGAAAACUCCCUUGUGAGCAGACAACCCUGAAGAGACAGCCAUUCCCCCAGAGUCAUGCUCAGUGAAUCCCCUGUGCAGCGUAGCGUUCCCUAGAAGCGGCUGAAAACUUCUGAGGAGCCACAGGAUGGCACCUUGUUCUCUGGAUCCCUGUGUGUUCUUCUCACUGUGCAGUCUCAGAAGUGCUGGGCCCGGCCCUUGAGACCAUAUUCUUUCAAGAUGUUUGACCCUGGUCAUUAAACCUGUCUUGGUUCUCCCCUAGGCUGCCCUUGAUCUAUACUGUUUAGUGCCACGGCAGGAUAUUAAAGUGGCACCCUCUGUUAAGAAAAUAGUCUUGAAACUAGAGAAGAUCUCGUAACAGGGCACACAGCAGAGCGUGGUUGCUUAGUAAGGGUAUUCUUGAAAGCCAAAACCCCUUCCUUGGCCCGCCCUGGGGUGUUCUCAGACCAUCUUGCAUAGUGGAUGAAGUCAUACCCUUUGGGCUGCAAAGCACACGCGACUUCUGCCAGGACACUGUGCCCGCUGCCUCCUAACUGCGACCAGAUCUGCCACUCGCCUUUCAGAAAGACAGCUAAACCUGCCAGGCGUGGCCUGCUGGCCUGUUUAAUCGAAAGACCAGACCACGCUGAAUUUAAUCCAGUUCAAUUCAACAAAUAUUCAUUGAACACCUCUAUAGGCCUUUAAUCACUUAUUUUCUUUCCUAUCAAUAAAUCGCUGGGUACAUAUUGCCAUGAAACAAGAACAUCUGCAGAACCAGACUACCUUAACGUCGUUUUCUGAUAACCUUGGUCCUCCCCAAACGAAUUCGGAAGUGCCUGUGGUUUUUGGCUCAUUCUAGAAAUGGAAUGUGGCUUGCCCUCUAGCUCUCACCUCUUGCAGGUUCACCUCGGUGUGGUAGGUUUGGACUGGGGCCCAUACACAGCUUUGUUUGGUUUGGGGUAAAGUAAGGGGCGCUUGAGUUUGAACCCUGACCAGGUCUGACCUGGUCACAGGAUAGUCUGUAGCCCCUUCCUCCCAACAGGAAGCAAGCUAUGGAUCCAUCCUGUUCUUAGGGGGGCAGGAGGAGUGGGGAGGGUGGCACUGUCCAAAUUAGAGUAAGUGGUGAGCUGGUCUUUCAGCCUCAUGAAUACCAACUUUGUAAUAAGGACCUAGUUCGUUAAUCAGCAAAUGAAGUGUUUUGGAGCUCACGGGCAGGAUGGUGGGGGCACUUGAGGACGAAUGAGCGAGACAAUACUGGACAUCGUAGUUUUGUCUGCCUCUCUUCUCCUUCCGCUGGGAAAUUUCUUCGUCUCUAUCCUAGGUGUUUCCACUGGAUUGUUUGUUAAUAAUAGAGCCUCAUCCCUGGCUGCCUUAGGCAGUUAGUGCUGCUGUAACACAGUGUCAUAGACUGAAUGGCUUUAAGGCAACAAAAAUUUAUUUCUCACAGUUCUGGAGGCGGGAAGUCUGGAAUCAGGUGCCAGCGCAGUUGGGUUCUGGUGAGAACCCUCUCCAGGUUGUAGACUGCCGACUUGUAUCCUCACAUGGCAGAGAACAGAGAUGAGCAAGCUCUUUUGUGAUCUUUAUAAGGGUACUGACCUCAUUCAGGAGGGCUCUGUCUUCACAAACUCCUCUCAUCCUAAUUACCUUCCAAAGGCUUCCCCCCCCAACACUGCCACACUGGGAGGCGGGUUUCAAGAUAUGAGUUUUGGGGGUAUGCAGAUAUUCAGUCCAUGAUGCUGACCCUGGGAGUAGACCCAUGACCUAGGCUUCGGCCAAAUCCAAUCUUUCUCUCACAGGGAUUGGACCCAGCCUUGGGCAUACGGCCUAAGGUCAAUCAUAUCUUUCCAUGGGAGCUGGUAUGUGGGCACUGGGACAGAUUUAGGGCCUCUUGCUUUUGUGUGUAGAGAAAGCCUGUGAUAAGAGAACGAGGCCAGUAUACAAUAUACAAACGAAGAGAGGUAAGCAGAACAAAGAGAUGGAAAGAGAGAGAGAAAGAAAAAAAGGACAUUGUUAUUAUUUGAGUUCCCGUGCCUGAAAAAACCCCACCCUUUAACUUCCUAGUUUAUGAGCCACUAAAUCUACUCCUCCGUGUAAGGUUGUUUACAUUGGGUUUCAUUCACUUUUGAUGGAAAGGUGCCUGACUAACAUAUAGGGUUUAGGGACCAAUAGUACAUACAAGGUUUAGCUAUUCCUCAACUAAUGGCUUGGCUUUGGCAAUCUCUUAACUGAUCUACAUACCUCUUUCCUCACUUGUAAGUGGAGUUAAGUGUGGCUACAGUGGAGGGCACACAGCGCCUCUUAGGAAAUGUAUGUGGAAUAGUAGGAAUAAUGUAUGUGGAAAGUAGCUAAUAAUAUAGGGAUAGUAUUGGGUUUAAUCCUAUGAAACUUCCAAUAUAUGAUCAUGUUUUGUCCUAUAAAAGAAGCAGCUUCGUGUGGUUAAACUGCUAGCAGAUUUCGUUUACUGAGCAAGUAGAACCCCAUCGUCAGUUAACAUUGAUUGUGAGGACCUACUAUGCACAGGCUUUGUGCUAGAGGCUGUGGGGGAAUUAAAGGUGGAGAAUACAAGGUCCCUGUUCUCAGGGAGACCACAGCCAGUGAGGGACACACAACUUACUAAGAAACCAUUGCUAAAGUGUUGGCCUCACCCUAGAAACUAUUGAAAAAGUCUAGUGUUGGCUUUUUUUUUUUUUAAGAUUUCAUCUUUAUCAGUGAAAUGUGUCUCGUACAAUCUGAGAAGGAUGUAGAUAGUGUCAAACUGAAAGAAGAACUCUGACAUCACACUUCCUAGAACCCCUCCUGUUGCAACUUCUCUCUUUGAAUCCCUUUGGAACUGUCACUCGUCAGCCCAAAAGAGUCAAGGAUCAAGGAAAAUGCUGAACACAAGAUGCCUUUUCAGUCAUCUCUGUGCCGAUUCACCCUGUCUGCAUGAGAAUUUUCGCCUUUUGUCCCUUUUGUCUGGGAAAGAACCAACUUAAACUCUUAUCUGUGCUGGCUCAAAUCCCCAAUUUACAUCAAGCAGAGGCUGAAGAAUAACAAUGGGACACAGCCAACGAAUAAUGCAAAUUUUGCUAUGACUUUAACCCACACGUGACUGGGUUGUCCCACGAUGUGGCAUUUGAGAUGCAUUUUUAUGUCCAUAUUUCUGGCUGUAGAUUUCUAGACACGGUGCAGCAGUCUGGUGUGACGGCUGAUUCUAAAUACCUCAGUUUCAGGAUGUUUGUCCAUCAAUUCUCCUGCACAUAAUGUGUACUUAAGACAGAGCCAGAGCCUUGCAAUUUGCCCAAAUCAGGCUGGCUGCUGAUCUCACGUAGGAAAAGAAUCACCCACGGAGAGCACGGUUCUUACCCUUCUCCGAGCGGCCAUUUGGUUAGCUUUCCUUUGCUGACUCACUGGGGCCUGAGGACUUCUUCCUAGGAAGGGAGUCCUUCUCAGCUUUGAGUAAACAGCAUUCUCUUCUUUUUUUCUUUAUUUUAGGUCCUGUUUCCUCCUUUUACUUAAAAAAGUCACCUUCAUGUGAAAUAACCUGCUAUUUUGCCAAACCGGUCUGUCAGUAUAAGGAAGCCUGGGAAUGCCUUAGCGGACCUAUAGUGUAAGUACUCUAAUAUAUGUACGAUGGGCUGAAAGUAAAAAUGCAUGUGGGAAAGGCCAUAGUCACUAGCAUGCAACCCUGAUGUUUGGGUUUAUCUUUUGUAAAUAAGAGAGAUGUUCUUCUUCUACGUGUACAUAAACACAACAGUUGAGUGUAACCCAAACUGUGCUGUGCGGCCUCAGAGCUCCUGUGGCUUUGCCAAAGCCUCAUGCUCGUGUACACACAUUUCACACGGGGCCCUUCCCGUUGCUAAAGGAGCUCGAGUCACUUUUUUGUGAAUGUCCUGUGAUUGGCAGGAAGGCUGGCUGUUGUAAGUAUCAUAUUGUUCCGUGGUAGAGAAUAUAUUUUAUUGCUAGUUCAAUAGCAUUUCACAGUUAUUAAGCCAGAGUCAUUGUCUCUGCAAGCUCCCGAAGGCUCAGAAACUUUGGGGCACAGGCAAAAAAACCCCCACACAUGCUCAAAACCUGUCAGUUAUCCCCAUUGUCCCACUGUGGCUGUCAUACUCUGCCUGUGGUGUUUAAAAUGUUUGGGGGGAAAUGUUGAGAAAGUGGAUUUCUAAGCAUAUCAUGUAUAGCCAUUUUUUUCAUAAAUAAGAAUUUAUCAGAAAUCACAUUUGUUUUGCAAUGCUUGAAGAUAAAAACACUUGAAAAAUGGCACACCUAUAUUAUUACAACUGCAGAUUAAAGCAGGUAGAUUUAAAAAAAAAAUGCUUGCAGCAUUAGCAGAUAAGGCCAAUUUUCUCAAAAACUCCAAGAUAAAUGCCUGCCUGAAACCAUGGCUAUGCCCAAGUAGAAGGAUCCAAGCAGGAGAUGGAUGGAUGCGAUUGGGCGGGGAACACAUAUAUUUCUCUGUAAGUAAGAGCUCCCCGAGCUUAUCUAGCAGAUAAUGAAAAUAUCCCGGGUGGAUGACCUUGUACAAUUGGCAGGUGUUAGGUGACAACUGAGAGCUUUGCCAGGAGAAAAAGGCAGCCCCCUUGGACAAAUCUACGAGCUCCUGUGAGGAGACAGUGUGGGAUCUUGGCUGUUUCUGUAGGGCAAAUAUGACAUCCCAACAGGAGCACAUUGUCUUAUGUGGGUCACCCCCGGUAAGAAGCACUUAGGAUCUUCCACAAACACCCAACUUCCUGGAAAUUUGAUUAACAUUUUGUUAUUUUUCCUGACAGCGCUGAGCCGGUUCCUGCAAAUUUUGCCCUCUUCAGCUCUUUGUGUACUUUCUGUAUUGUUUUCUUUUUCUUCUUGAGACCAGAGUUUGUGAGGCCCCGAGGACCACACCGACACUGCAGUCGGUGGAUGUUCAGUUAAUCUUCUGCCGAAAGGAAAAUGUAUUCUUAUUUCUCUUCAAGUGUCUGUGGCAACAACAGGGUGUGGGCAGAAACCUGUGUUUAUCUAAACGAGAACAGAAUAUCUAUGACCUCUCUUAGCGCUUCUGGCCAGCUCUUCUCUAAUGAUGGCACUCUAUGGCUGGUUUCUAAUAUUUUUCUAGAAGUAAUUGCAACUUUAAAGGAACAUACUCUGUUCCCUGUUUAGAGGAACAUGCCUGGGAGGAGAUAUACCCAAAUGGUAGAUGGUUAUCUUUAGGGGGUUAGGGUCAUUUUUUUUCUUUUUUUUAAAUGUGUUUCUGUAUAUUCUGAAUUAGUACUUACACUAAAAAAAGGCGGCGGGGGGUGGUGGUGGGUAUUUUGCCAACAACCCUUUCCACAAGCUUCUCAGUGUUUUGGUGAUUUUUUAUGGGGUUACUUGUAAAAAAGAUUGUGUCUCCAAAGAGGAUCUGAGUAUAAGGGCUUAGUCUGCUACCUACAUUAGGGCAUCACUUUGAAUAAGUCAGGGUUCCUCACGUAAGAUAAGACCAAAACCUACACUGGUAGAAAUUAUGGCGAGAAUCUAAUGGCGUGACGUAUGGAGAAGACUAUGAUACAUGUAAACUGCUCCUCAGUGGGAGGAGCAACAAUAGCAAUCAUUUGUUUGCAAGGAAUCAAUGGGGCAAAUGUAGACCAAAGAAUCUGCAACAAGGGAAUGUGCACCCUGGUGACCUGAAAUAGCAUGGAUGGAAGAACCCUUUCCAGGAGCCUUCCAAUUUGUGCAAGCAGUUUAAUAUUCUUAGCACCAGCUUCCAGCACUGUUUUGUGAAGGGAAAGUGUGUGUGUGUGUGUGUGUGUGUGUGUGUGUGUGUUGAUAACCAAAGUGCCCACAUGUAAUACACAGGGACAUCAAACAACAUUUAAAAGUAAUCAUUGGGGUGCCGGGGUGGUUCAGUUGGUUAAGCAUCCAACUCUUUUAUUAUUAUUAUUACUACUAUUUUUUGAAAACUUUUUUUUAAUGUUUAUUUAUUUUUGGGAGAGAGAGGCAGAGUACAAGUGGAGGAGGGGCAGAGAGAGAGAGGGAGAUACGGAAUUCAAAGCAGACUCCAGGCUCCGAGCUGUCAGCACAAAGCCCGAUGCGGGGCUAGGACCACGAACUGCGAGGUCAUGACCUGAGUUGAAGUCAGACGCUUAACCGACUGAGCCACCCAGGCGCCCUAUUAUUAUUUUUAUUAUUUAUUUAUUUUUUGAGUUUUAUUUUAUUUUAUUUAUUUUUUAAUUUACAUCCAAGUUAGUUAGCAUAUAGUGCAAUAAUGAUUUCAGGAGUAGAUUCCAGUGAAUCAUCCCCUAUGUAUAACACUCAGUGCUCAUCACAACCAGUGUCUUCCUUAAUGCAUCCAACUCUUGAUUUCAGUUCAGGUCAUGGUCUCGUGGUUUGUGAGAUCGAGUCCUGCAUCUUUGGGCUCUGUGAUGAUAGCACGAAGCUGCUUGGGAUUCUCUCUCUCUCCCUCUCUCUGCUUCUCCUCUAGUCCUGCUCUCUCUCUCUCAAAAUAAGUAAACACUUAAAAAAAGGUAAUCAAUACAUAAAACCCCACUACCUGACUGAUUCAAGGGGUUUUUAAAGACUGUUUUAUGUGGGGCCAGAGGUUUGGUAUACUGUCACAGAAAGGUAAAAAUCACUAGAAACAGAAACCAAAAGCAAACAGAAAUAACAGCCGUCUCUCACGGAACACCCAGCCAAUCUGCUGGAUGAAAUAGCUCUCCAGUGACCCAACUGCAGUGGUGUUUCCUCGCUGUAAGGAAGAAGUGGAAGACAAGGCACGGCCGUGGUGACGAUAAACUGUCUUCUGGGAACAGAGGCAGGUUGAAAAACCAGUGCGUAUGUGGGAAUACCUUGACCGUCCCCGAAAGCACCGGACACUCCCCGGUCUUGUCGAAGAUGUCCUGUCUGCAUGGGCUCAGAAUCAUGUUCAACACAGCCCAUGUGCUGGAGCGGGGUGCUCAUCUCAGGUCUGGAUCGUCCAGCAGGGAAGGGGUUACGCGCAAGAGUGAUCAAAGAUUUAAACUGUCAUGUCGACAGUAAGCUGGGGGAACAGGCUAUGCGGGGGCCUUAAUAAAUCUGCCCUUGACUUAUGGCCGAACUUCAUUCAGCAGAAAAUUAUUUCUGCAGCAUAUUGAGUGCCGUGCUCUGAUGGAGACAGAAAUAAAAGAAAGGUGGAAAUGGGGAGAAGAGACUGGAAAUUCAAUCCACAUGUGGUGGGGAGGACUCUUCAGUAAAUUCUUUCUCAGAUGAAAUAAGAAACAGAAUGUGUAAGACUCUCAGAAUAUGGUACAUUCCUUUUACUAAAAUGUCUUUGGAGAAGAACAUGGGCAAGGAGUGAUUCUCGGGAAAGACUGAUAUGGAGGGUGGGGAGGGGGAAAGAGGGAGAAAAUCUUAGUGAUUUAGACAUGAUCAUUUAUUUGUUAAUUGAGUUAGCGAGGCUCUAUUGAGUGCUUACUAGGAGUGAGAUGUUGGCUAUCAAGAUGAGCCUCAUGUCUUGAGGGGUUCACGGCGAAGGGAUUAGAUCCACUCUAAAUUUGUCCCUUCCACCCCCAAGCUCAGUUCAGUCCAGCGCGAUGGAGAUGCUCUGCUGUCCAGAGGAGCAAAGUGCUGCAGAAUCUUCUCUGAAUAAAGUGUGAGAGCACUAGUCAGAUUUUAGGUAUCACAGAAGCAUCAGCACAUUUUCCCAAUUCAACAUAAAGAACAGACUUUUCAAUAAUUUGAAAGGCUGAUUUUAAGAAAAAGACAUCUCUCUUUUUUUGAUGUUUAUUUAUUUUUGAGAGAGAGAGAGACAGAGAGAGAGACAGAGAGAGAGAAUGAGUGGGGGAGGGGCAGAGAGAGAGGGAGAUGCAGAACCCGAAGCAGGCUCCAGGCUCUGAGCUGUCAGCACAGAGCUCGACGCGGGGCUCGAACCCACGAAUGGUGAGAUCGUGACCUGAGCGAAAGUCAGACACUUAACCGACCAGGUGUCCCCAGACAUCUCUUUCUUAGAGGAUAUGUGAUUUAAAUUUUCUUAUUGCUUUUCCUUAUGACAUUUUAGAAAGAGAAGAAAGGCUUAAGAUUGGGGGACUCGGUAUUUUUCAGGCCAAUUCACGAAGGCACGAAGAGUCCUUUCAAUCCCAGACCAGAGAUAAUUUGAAUUCAGGAGACAGUUUAGGAGGCAAGACUUGUCUUUCUCUAUCGGUUUUGAAGCUAUUGGGAAACACUCAAGAAGAAAAUGAAGGCUUUUCCUCUUGUAAAUAAUUUAUUCACUGUUUGUUUGUUUGUUUUUGUCUCCCUAUACUUUCAUUCCCAGAGCUGUAAUGAGUUUUAGGAACAGAAGGUGUCAGAUAUUGGCUUGUUGUUCUUGUUGAGAUCUCCAAAUUCAUGACCCCUCUGGGCAUUCUAGGCGCAGAUAAUACGUAAUUUACAGAGAUCUGCAGCUUUUGUGUUCUCUUCCCUCCAAGUUUUGGAGCUUUUUGUUCAAAGGGAUGAUUUGUUUCUUCAUAGUGGAACCAGCCACAUUGAGUGGAGGAUCUGGCACCCGGUGGUAUCCCGAGCCUUCGCAGAACCUUGGUAACCAUGCUGGCACAUUUCUGUGACCUGGGCUUGUGGGUUCUUCCUGUCUAGGGAAGGAGAGGGACCAAGGCAGAACCAGCCGGUUGUCUUCAGGAAUUAAGGUGAAGGCUCAGGACAUGUGCGAAAAUAAAGAUUUUCAUCUGCUAGCAAGCAUGGUGGUUGGUUGAAUCAGAGUAAGGAUAUGGUGGGCUGAAAGAGAGGAAUUAUGCUUAUAUUCCUCUCUCAACACUUCAGAGAGCAAGGAUACGUUUAGGCCAGGGGUUGUUCCAUGGAGGACAGGACUAUCACUUAAGGGCUGGGUUAACCGUCCAAUGUGCAAUACCCAAGGAAAGUUUGUCUCUGGUGAAGAGUGUGUAGGUCCCUGGAGGUAAAACCAAUGCAAAUGAUCUUUUCUGACUUUCCUAUCUGUAUCGCUAUCCCUCUCUCUAUCUCCAUUUCCAUCCCUCAUUCUCUUUUGAUGAAGGAGAGUUGGACUCUGAGUGGCCUGAAGGGGCCUGGGGUUCUGGUCGACUCUCUAGAUAAACCUGGAUACAAACUUGGGGCUGUAGACCUGGAUGAACCAACUAUUGCCAAGAAGACAGACUGUCAGUAAACUUCUCUCGCUGUGUUACCUAGGUAGUGAUGUAUUUUAUUAUUUGGAAGAUGUUACUCAUAAACUCAAUUUAAUAUUUUUUUGUGCACGUGUUUUUUAUUUUUUUUUUAAACCUUACUACCUGUUUAGCUAUACAAGUAGAUUUCAUCCUAACAGGGCAUCCUGGUCAAGGAUAUAUUACAUAUGGGUGCACAGAACCUUGUGCUUUGUUUGGCCACCCUGGGUCAAUUAUAUCGUCACUCUGUUCCUGGUUUUCCCCAUUUGUACAAGAAGAGAAUACACCUCUUUUACUCUUGUAUAAAGACUGAGAUGAACCCCCUCUUCACGUUAUCCCCUUCAAGACUUAAAGUUCUCUGUGAAGCUUCUAUGGAAGUCAUAAUAAUGAUGAUUUAACAAUUUUUGUCAUUAUUAUUUGGCCACUCUAAUUUAGAACCAGGAGCAAAAUUGUAGACAGGUGAUGGUCUCAUGAAGAGUGUUAGUUAUAUGAUCUACUUUAACUCACUGUCAAUGAAUAAAUCCAAGUUGUCUCCCUUGGACAUCAUUUAUCUCUUUUUGCCCAAAUCCUGCCAGGAGAUGUGCCAAACUGAGUUCUUGGAGGAGUUUUCUCUCCCUGCCUAAGAGAGAACUGUUAGACAGCAUCUAGCCCAGGGUUCAGGGCAGCUGAACCCCCUCGUGCUUCCCUUUAUCCUUGGCCAGCCUCUCCUUUUCUUACCUAGGCCAAAUUCCUUCUCUUUCCACUUGAAUUCAGAGAGUUCAUGCUGGACAAAGGGGUUGGAGAACGCAGAGGGACCUUCUGACAAAUGUCUCGGUGUGAAGGGUGAGCAGGAGGCGGGAGAAGCUAAAGGGAAAAAAAGGGAAAGAAUGAAAAGGAGGUGCGGGGCAUCUGGAGGAGGGUUCGGUUAUCAAUUCCUUUGAACAUUCCUGCUUCGCCAGGCAACAAAGACGACUUGAAGCAUGUAAAAGAAAGGAAAGCCCCGGAGCUCAAACAAAGCUGGUAAAUUACAAGAGAGAGAGCAUCAGGGCAGUGGGUCCUCCAGGACGGAGGGUGGGUGGAAAUCCCGCCCCCCGCCCCAAACCCAUGGCUUGAUUCCAACUCAAGAGAAAAGGACAAGAGAAGAAUGUGCCUGACUACACUUUUUCCAAACCUUGUUUUUUAGCUUGCUAUAUCUAAGAUUGAAACUUAGCCAAAUAAUUGCAGGGAAAAUAUUUGGUUAGGUUUUGAAAGACUGUUUGGAGAAACUGACUAGUUGUAAAACGGAGUAUUUGGAAUAACCGUCUGGGAAAGAUAAACUUAAAAACUGGAAAGGUGAGCCCCACAGACCUAAGGGAACAAAAAGGCAGAGAGGAGAGCGUGGUGUUUUGCAUUUGGGAGGAUGAGAGUGAAGGUGUCUAUGCAGUCAUUUGCCAGGUUUUGAGUUCGGAAUGUUUUUCUUGAUGCGGCUUCCAGGAAGGAUUAUGACCUUAGUCUUUUAUGCAAAGUGGUGUCUUAUUAUAGAAGUAAAAGUAAUCGCCUCCAGUUACCGCAUCUGAAAUCCUGAGCUGUGCUCCAGGCGUCCAUCGCCCAUCUAGUUAACUGUAGAAAUAAAAUCGGAGGGAAUUUGGCCUUCAGGUUGUAGGGCUGGAAAAUGCUUUGAGAGGCCUUCUGGUUGGAUUACUUCUAAACCCUCCCUGACAGAUGAAAAUUUAUCUUAUUUUUAAAUGUUCCCCAGAGGAACAGUGUCCACCGACUCCCUUAGUAACUCAUUCCAGUUUUUAACGACCUCCACAUUCAGGAAAUUCCUUCUCCUGUCUUACCUAAACCUACUCUGCUACAGCUUAAGCCCAUUUUCUUUUGACCUACCCUGGAAGAAAUGGAGAAAAAAGAGAUCAUUCUCUUGCAUAAACAUCCUUUCACAUAAUUAAAAAUUCUUUGAAUCUAGAAAGUUCUGUAUCUCCUUUCUUGAUCCCAUCAAAGCUCCCCCCUUCCUUUAGCCUUCCCUGGGGGGAUCCGCCUCCCAGUCUCUUCCCCACCUUUGCUGUAGCCUCAGAACCUUCCUCUGUUGCCUAUAGUCUUGGCUGUGGUUGGGGAGAGAAGAAAGAAUGUGGUAGUUCAGUCCUUCCCUCAUUUCCUUGGGCUGCCUCUGCCAGAGCUGAUGUAAGAGACUAAACAGUAGUGAUAAUGUACAACUUAAACAUUGUUCUUGUCCACUUGAUAUUUGUUUUCAAAAUCAAAUUUGUCUCAUACAUCAGGUCUGUGGACAUGUGUAGGGGUACAUAUCUUAAGGUUUUAGAGAGGCCGAAAAGAAGUAUGAGAGUACAUGAAUCACUAUACAAAGACUUGCUCAGGAGAACACAAAGGUAGGUUCAAUGGUGGCCCUUAGGUGAGCAAAAAUAGACUUUCUCUCAUGGACUCCUUCUAUUAGGUAUACGCACUUCACAAAGCAUCCUUUCAGCUCUGCCCAAUUUUUAUUAGAAAUUUUCCAUGAGUCAGUUUCCGUUCCUUGUGUGGAACCACUGAUCCUUGUGUGGAACCUUGUGUGGGACCUUGUGCUUGGUGAUAAAACCUUAAAGCUUUAACUAGAUACGACCAUUGCCAGAACUUUACUCAAAUGCUACCGGGGCAGGGCAAAGUCUUGCCUUGUUUUCUUGGGCAUCAGCUGUUGACUAAACAAACUGAUGUACCUUUUAGGAUUUAUUUUUGCUUUAAAUGAGAUCUAAUCUGUUUGUACAGUUUCCAACACUUUUACGUAUGCGAGGAUCAGACAAUCACAUAGAUGACUUUGUUAUAACUUGCAUUUCUAAUUCCUAAAAAAUGCUAAGAAAAUCUGAAGCAUUCUCAGAUUUCCCUAUAGUUUUCAAAACAUGCUUAUGAGGGUGUUAAAUAGGAAACAGGUGCUUUAAAAAACCCUAUUUCUAUUUUUAUGACUCAUGUGUUUACUCUUACUUGUGCCUUAGCAACAGAUCAUAGAAGAAGCCAGAGAGAGUUGCUUGUCUGUCAUUAUGAAGAAUGAGUUCAUAGCAAAUCAGGGGAUAGUCUGGUUUGCAGAGGGAGUCCCAGAGCCCUCUAGGACUCCACACGCGGCCUCUGGGACUCCACAUAUUUAUCUGCAGAGAAUAAAAAGAGACAAAAUCACCAUCCUCAGAGAAUCUACAUUUAGUUUAGUUUUAUACAUUUAUCUCCCACAGGACCUAAUACAGUUGGGGAUUUUACCCUUAAAAAGUAUGUCUUAUUGGGGGCCUGCCUGGGUGGCUCCGUUGUUAAGCAUCAGCUCAGGUCAUGAUCUCAUGGUUUGUGAGUUUGAGACCCAUAUUGGGUGAGCUCGUGCCCAGCUUGGGGUGAACGUGAGCACCACUUCAGGUGAGCCCCGCUUCUCUUUCUCUCUCUCUCUCUGCCUCUCACUCACUUGUGCCCUCCCUGUCUAAAAAAAUGUAUCCCUUAUUUUGUAGCCAUUAAGAGUUAUUAUUUAUGAGAAAUUUAUAAUAAUAUGGAGAAUGCCUCCUGGGUUAUAAUGUUGAAGAAAAGAAAGAUACAAAGUUAUCAAUGUAUUCUAAGUUAAAACUAAAAACAGCAAUGUAAUCAUCUUUUUACACACACACACACACACACACACACACACACACACACAUAAAGGUUACAAUAAAUAGGCAUACAGAAAAGAUGAAAAGAAAAUAUUAAUACAAAAUAUUAUAUAUAACACACAUAAAGGUUACAAUAAAUAGGCAUACAGAAAAGAUGAAAAGAAAAUAUUAAUACAAAAUAUUAUAUAUAUACAACAAUAUAUAUAUAUAUAUAUAUAUAUAACAAAAUAUAACAACAAAAUAUUAAUGGUGCUUGUCUUUGGGUAGCAGGCUGACAGGUAAUUCUUCUGCUUUGUACUUUUCUGCAUUUGUCUUUUUUUUUUUUUUGGUAGUAAUCACAUAUUACUUUUAAAAUAGAAUGACACAUGUUCAUUAAAAAAAUUAUUCCCUUCAAUCUCUAAAGGCUUUAAGAUUUUGCAGAGUCUGUCAUUAAAACGCACGUGGGAUGAGUCAGUUCCUAAGCCACUGUCAGUGAAGACUUGAAAGACAAGCACCUGGGGAAAAGAGGUGAUGCCGAGAGGGAGGAGCAUGGGAGGGAAACAAAAUCAAACUUCAGUGGCAGCACACUUUUCCCACUCCCCAACAGCUACUCUCUGGACAGUCUCAAUGUUUUGGGGGGCACAGGUGUUUUUUCACCUGGAUAUAGAAGGAAGAAAUAAACAUUUAAUAAGUGCGUCAGGCAUUGUGUAUUCCAUCCCAUUUUAUGAGCAAGGAAAUUGAGCUUUGGAGGCAUUUUGGAGUUGUUUAAAGAAAGUCAGAGGUGCGGUCAGGAUUCAAAUCCAACCCUGCCUGGCUGGACAGAGGUGAUCUGCUCUCCCUGAACUUCCAGAAAUGCCCCUUAGACCACAGGGGCAGAGCUUCCCAAUGUUCUGGAAGGGCUUUAGGUUUGGCAAGUAUGUGCCUGGAAUGUUCACAGUAGUCCUAAUUUAAAAGAAAUUGCAUUAUUUUUAAGAAAAGCCAUUUAAAAAAUAUGUAACUAAAUGUGACUAUAAUUUUAGUAGGUUGGUCAGAAUACUUUCUUUUUUUUAUUAAUGAAUAUUUUUUGGUAAUCUUUAUUUAUUUUUGAGAGAGAGACAGCAUGUGAGCAGGGGAAGAGCAGAGAGAGGGAGACACAGAAUCCGAAGCAGGCUCCAGGCUCUGAGCUGUCAGCACAGAGCCUGACGCAGGGCUCGAACUCACAAACUGUGAGAUCAUGACCUGAGCUGCAGUUGGAUGCUCAACCAGCUGAGCCACCCAGGUGCCCCGGUCAGAAUACUUUCUAUCAAUUUAAUCAUGAAUCAGAAAAGUGCUGGAGCGACAUUACCAAGAUGGUGGCAUGAAUUAUUCCUGACUUUGCUCCCCAUCCCAAGAACAACUAAUUCCUAUUCAUGAAGAAGACACUGCUGGGAGAAUCCUAGAACAUGGGGGUAAGGCUGAAGCACCUUACAGAGAUCAAGACAGAUGGCAUUAGAAAGUUAAGAAGAGAGGCUUCUCAUUGACCACAUUGCCCCUCCCCCAGGACCACACAGCUCUACACAGAGAGGUACCCCUGAAUGUUUGGUUCCUCCUCUGGGAAAAGAGAACCCAGCAGUGGAGGACAACCAACCUCCCUCAGCAUUGUGGGUUGCUUUGAGGAAACCCUUGACUUGAUCUCCUACUGUGGGGACUACCCUGCAAUCUGCAGGGCCUGGCCACUGGGAAUCUGGCUGUGGCAGAGAAGGCGGGGAGGGACUUGCAACAGCGAGCACAUGGGUCUCUGCAGACUGGGUUCACGUCUGCAGUGCUCAAGUAGUAACACCACCAGUGGUUUUGGUCACCUGCAGAACCAAGCUGGCAGCUCGCACGGACCAGGGAACUUGGUGGAGUGUAGAUCUGCUUGAUUUGGAUCCUCACACGAGGAAUUUUGCCAGGCCUGAAGCCCCAUUUGCUCAUAGCCGGGCAAGGUGCUGAGUCACAGCCCCGUCCACUAUUAUGAGUGCCUUCCAGCUCCAUCUGACCAGAAGGGCUGGGGACAACUGGUGGAAAUUGUGUGGCCCAGCUAAAAGGUGGGCAAGCAAAGCUGAUCACCGCCAGAGUAAAGUCAGUACCAAGGGUGGAGUCUUCCCACGCUAAGCACAGAUAGGGGGAUUAAUUCAUAGCCAAAUUGGAGGGUAGCUCUUUCCCUCCCCAACUGGAAAGGCCGUUUGGGAAAUUGAGAGUAGCCCGGAGUACCCAGGCUGGGGGCUGAAACACAGCCAUGCCUACUGUGAUGAGUGCUUUCUGGCCCUAUCUGACAAGAAGCGCUGUGAAAAUGCCCGCAAGCUGUACGACCCAGUGGUACUCAAGUUGAGAGAAGGGCAGAGAUAGCUGAUAGUUUGCAGAGCAAAGCCAGUGGUCCUGUUCAGCCAAGGAACUUGGGGUGUGGGUUGGCUUGAGUUAAGACAGUGAAGAGCAUUAGUGAUUUUAGAGCUGCUUCUCCCGUUGCACCCAGGCAAAGAAUCUAAUUCAUAGCUUCACUCAUUGUUGAACACAGUCUUUAUCUUGUCUAAACAGGGAACCUAGGUAGAGCGCAGGGGAACCUGCAGAGCCCAUUCAGUGGCCUGUGUGCAGUGGCACUUCAACAGAGAGCACAACCUGUGGCUUCCCCUGUCUGCAGAGCAAAACUGGUGGCCUCACCUGACUAGGGAAUUCAGUGCACACUCAAGAUUGAUUCAGGACCUCAAACAAUGAGCUGUAUAGGUCUUGGGCUCCAGUCUGCUGCUCUGCUGGGGGAAGGAAACUAAUUUAUAGCCACAUCUACUACUGAAUAUAAUACCCAGUCCCAACCAUCUAGUAUGCCUGACCAGUGAAUCCAGGCAACUUCAGAAUGCAUCCUACAGCCUCACUUGGGUAGGAAAACUCAUCUAACUGCCCUCAGCCAGUGGAUAAACCCCCAUCCCUAUCCCUAUCCUUAGAGCUUGAACAGUUGCCUUGCCCCCCAAAUAGACCAUAACAGAAGGCCCCACUUGUCCAAUGACAUUACCAGAAAACAUACCAAGAAACCCAAACUGGGCUGACUGGUGAAGAGCUAUCUCUCCCAAAGCAAACUUGUAAAGUGUUUAAGAGUAGCUCCAUUACUCAAAUGAACAGAUAUCAACAUAAAGAAUCAAGGAUCACAAAAAAGUCGGGUAACUAUGACACCAUCAAAGGAAACUAAUAAAGCUCUAAUAACUGACCCUAAAGAAAAGGAUAUCUAUAGAUAGUCAGACAAGGAAUUCAGAAUAAUCCUCUUAAGAAGGUUUAGAGAACUAUAGGAGAACACAGACAACUAAAAAGAAUUUGAAAAACAAUGCAUGAACCAAAUGAGAUUUAACAAGAAAAUAGCAACCAUUAAACAAAUAGAAAUCCUAGAGUUAAAAAAUACAGUAACUAAAGUGAGAAAUUUCACAAGUAGGCUCAAACAUGCAGAAGGAUCAGCAACCUGAAAAUUAGGACAUUGAAAAUUACCUAGUCAGAGGAGCAAAACAAAACAAAACAAAACAUUGAAGAAAGCCUAUGAAUAUUCUGGGACACGAUGAAAAGAAAUAGUAUUUACAGUAUGGGAAUUCCAGAACGAGAAGAAAAAGAAAAAGAGAAAGGAACAGAAAGCAUAUUUAAGCAAUAGUGGCUGAAACAUCCUAAACCUGGGGAGAGAAAUGGACAUGCAGAUCCAUGAGACCCAAAGGAUCCCAAGUAGAUUGAAUCUGAAUUGGGCUACACUGAGACACAUUAUAAUUAAAUUGUCAAAACUCAAAGACAUAGAAAGAAUUUUGAGAACAGCAAGAGAAAAGAGAGAAGUUACACACAAGGGAACCCCUGAAAGACAGCAGAUUUUUCAACAGAAACUUUUCAGGUCAGAAGAAAAUGGGAUGCCAUAUUCAAAAUAUUGAAAGGAAAGAACUGUCAACCAAGGCAUUCUAUACCCAUUGAAGCUGUCCUUCAGAAACAAAGGAGGGAUAAAGACUUUUCUGAACAAACAAAAGCUGAGGGAGUUUGUUACCACCAGACCUGCCUUAUAAGAAAUUCUAAAGGGAGUUAUUUGAGUGGAAGUAAAAGAACACUAAUUAACAACAUAAAAACUCAAAAGGUAGCAUACGUAUCAUUGGUAAUGGUAAAUAUAUAGUCAUAGUUAGAUUCUGACAUAUGGUAAUGAGGUGCAUAACUCACAAAUGUAGUUUAAAAGUUAAAAAAAAAUGAACGUAGCAAAAAUAAACAUGAAUACAAUGAUCUCUUACCAGUUACACAAUAUAAAAAACAUGUACAUUGUAACAGCAAUAACCUGAAAUGUGAGGGGGAGAAGUAAACACGUGAAGUAUCUGAAUCCUAUUCAAGUUAAGUUGUUAGUGUAAUAUAGAGCGUUAUAACUUUAAGAUAGCUUAUGUUUGCCUCAUGAUACCCAUAAGGGAAAAUCUUGUAGUAAUUACACAAAAGAACAUGAUAAAAGUUUCAAAGCAUACUUAUAUCAAAGACACAAAACACGAAAAAGACAGCAGGGUAAGAAACAAAGAAUAACAGGUCUAUAGAGCAACCAGAGAACAAUUAGCAAAAUGGAAAUAGUAAGACCUUACCUGUCAAUAAUUACUUUAAAUGCAAAUGGAUUAAAUUCUCCAUUCAAAAGACAUAGAAUGGCUGAAUGGAUUAAAAAACAAGAUCCAACAAUACAUUGCCUAUAAGAGACUCACUUUAGCCUUAAAGACACACAUAGAAUGAGAGUGAAUGGGUAGAAAAAGUCAUUUCAAGCAAAUGGUGACAAAAGAAAAAAAAAAGCAGUGUAGCUAUAUUUAUAUCAGAUAAAAUAGACUUUAAAUUUAAAAUGAUAGAAAGAUGAUAGAAAGAGACAAAGAAGGUCCUUUUAUAAUAAUUAAGAGGCCAAUACAUCAAGAAGAUACGACAAUUGUAAACAUUUAUGCAUUUGAAAUAGGAGCACCUAAAUAUAUAAAGCAAACACUAGCAGAGCUAAAAGGAGAAACAAACAGUAAUACAAUAAUAGUUGGAGACAUUAAUACCCCUUUUUCAACAAUGCAUGCAUAGAUCACCCAGACAGAAUCAAUAAAAAUACAGUGGAUUUGAACAAUGUUAUAGGCCAAUGUACCUAACAGGCACAUCCAGAACAUUCUACCCAACAACAGCAGAAUACACAUUCUUUUCAAGCUAACAUGGAACGUUUUCUAGGAUAGACCAUAUGUUAGGCCAUAAAACAAGUCUUAGCAAAUUCAAGGAGACUGAAAUACCAAAUAGCUUUUCUUGGCCACAACAGCAUGAAACUAAACAUCAAUAAAAGAAAAACUGAAAAAUGUAUGUUCACAUGGAAAUUAAACAACAUUCUCCUGAACAAUCAGAGGGUCAAAUAAAAAAUUAAAGGGGAAAUAAAAAAGUUUCUUAAGACAAACAAAAAAUGGAAACACAAUGUACCAGAACUUGUGGGAUGUAGCCAAAGCAGUUCUAAGAGUGAGGUUCACAGGAAUGAAUACCUACUUUAAGAAGCAAGAAAGAUCCCCAAUACACAACCUAGAUCUAUACCUUAAGAAAUAAAUUGAGCCUAAGAAAAAGAAAAAUUAAUAAAAAUUAGAGCAGAAAUAAAUAAAAUGGAGAACAGAAAAAACAAGGGAAAAAAAUGAACCAAACUAAGAGUCAGUUCUUUGAAAACAUAAACAAAAUUGACAAACCCUUAGCUAGACCAAUCAAGGAAAAAAGAGAAAAGACCCAAAUCAACAAAAUUAUAAAUGAAAAAGGAGACAACUGAUACCACAGACAUUCAAAGCAUCAUUAAGAUGCUUCUAUGAACAACUAUGUAACAACAAACUGCACAAUCUAGAAGAAAUCAAAAAGUUCUUAGAAACAUAAACUUACCAAGACUGAGUCAGGAAUAAAAAGAAAAUCUGAGCAAACCAAUCGUUAGCAAGGAGAUUGAAUCAGAGAUCAGAGUCUCCCAAAAAAGAAAAGCCCAGGACCAGAUGGUCUCACUGAUGAAUUUUACCAAACAUUUGAAAAAGAAAUAACACCAAUCCUUCUCCAGUACUACCAAAAAAUUAAAGAGGAGGGAACCCUCCCAAACUCAUUUAUAAGGUCAGUAUUAUCCUGAUACUAAAACCAGAAAAGGACACUACUACAGGCCAAUAUCUCUGAUGAAUAUAGAGGAAAAAGUCUCAGCAAAAUCCUAGCAAACCAAAUUCAGCAGCGCGUUAAAAGAGUCAUUCACCUUGACCAAGUAGGAUUUAUCCCUGGGAUGUAAGAAUGGCUCAAUAUAUACAAACCAAUCAUGAUACCUCAUAGUAAUAGAAUGAAAGAAAAGAAUGAUACAAUUAUCUAUAGAUAUAGAUACAGAUAUAGACUUAGGUAUUUCAGUCUGGUUUCAAGAUUUGUGCUGAAAGUCUCUGAGUUCUUGCAAUCCUAAUAUAGCCACAGAAUCUCUAGGGCUUACUGAGUUGUGAGUUUAAUCAGACUUCUAGUAAGCUUGAGAGAUAUUUUCCUAAGGUUUGUCUUCAAAGGACCAGAGGCCAUGGAAUGAUCUAGCUAGUAUUUUGUUUAUUGUUUUCUUUAUCAACUUUUAGGCCCUUAGAGAUUACGGAUCACGGUAUUGGAGAUUCUCUUACUUACCAUGUUAGAGGAGGUAGACGCAAGAAAGUUGGAGUCAGUUGGCUCUGUAUCUAAGAGGUCACACAGCAUUGGGUGGUUGGUAAACUAAAGCACUUACUUGGGGAUCCAAGUAAAAUAACUGUUUAACACACUCAACAUUGGUCACUCUGGAAGCCAGGGCUCCAGAACUCCUUCCAAACCCCUGUGGAACAUCUAAACCACCAUACCUUCAAACACCGGCUAAGAGUUAAGGAAGAAGUGAAAGCUUCCCCAGGUGAAUUUUUUCUUUUUCUUUUUCUUUUUCUAAGUAAGAAAACUCAGUCAAAUUUUUGCAUCAAUAGAUGAUAAAGUUCUAUUGCUCAGCUUUUAAUGAUAGCAUGAAUUUUAAGUAAACAUCGAUGAAAUACAACUUGUCAGCACAAAAAUACCGCCUGUCAUAGUCAUUUGUGUAUAAAAUAUGACCUGCAGCUUUGAACCAUAUGGUUACAUGAGUUCUAAUUUACGUGGCAUCUUCUUAAGUCAGCAGAAUGCGUCCUGGCCUGCCUGUGGGAGGUGGAGUCAGCACCUCACCCACUGAAGUGGAAAGGGCUCCCUGGGGCUUAGGCCAGUUUCAGCUGCUGCAGUGGAGGCUGGAGAUUUGCAAGGCCAAUGGCCCUGGCCCAGGCCCGCGAGGGCCAUCGCUUGCAGUGGCACGGCUGUCCUGAUAAUCAGCCUACAAAGUCGGACAUGCAAACUUGAAAAAUAUUCAACACCGCAGCUUGUGACUUAGGCGUUCCCUCUGUUCUCACUGGUGGGGGAGUGGGGGGAAGGUAACACAACCUCCUCUAGAUGUGAUGGGAAGAGCGGACAUUUGGAUGCCAUUUUAAAGCAACGUUUAAUGAAGUGAGAAAAUGCGUCUGCGGCGUUGUGCUUCGUGGCACAUAUAUGCAAGGCCAGAAGUGCACAAUGGACACAUUCUGUGAUUUAGACAUGAAUUGGAAAAGCCAAGGAAAUGCCAUGGAAAUAAAAAUCAGACUCCAGAGUCUAAGCUGAGCCAGAAACAGACGUACUUUUUGCUACUUAAAAAAGAAAUUCUUCUUUCCCCCCCUCAAGCUGUGCCCUGUCACUAUCUUAAGAUGACCUUCCACCGGGUCUCCCUGAGAUGCUUUCAGGGAGCUGGUUGGCUGACAAGUGACUCUUGACCUUUCUGCAAAUUCGCGGGGAGCCCCAGGGUUCUCUGGCUGCCCUCUGGGUGGUCCCUGAAGACAUGGUUGCAGAUGUCUGCUCCUGAUAAGUGUGGAGACCAAAGGCAGGAGGCGACCCAUCAGGGGCUGCACUGGAGGGUGAAGAAGCAGCCGGGGGAAGUGCUGGGCCCCAGAGCAGCUGCUCACGCUGGGAGACUGAGGGCUGCAGCUCUGGGCUUUGUGUUUCUUUGGCAGGUGUGGGGGGAGGUGACUCUUGCUUUUUGUGAUUUCUUUCCCCUGCCACUGUCAGCUGACAAUAAAAUCUUUCUGGUGUUGACAUCCUUCUGAAGGAUGCUAUCAACACUGAGACCCAAAAUAAGGCUCCGAUAUUCAUUCGAAGUAAGUCUCAAAGUGAAGGUUGCAAUUCACAUUGCUUUGGAAGAGUAAACAGAGCAGCCUUCUUAGGAAGGGAUGUAUGGCCAGCAGGUACAAAAGGGGAAUAACUGACUAAGCACACAUGUAACAGAGAAAAUCUAUACAUCGUUGUUCCAGUUGCUAAUAAAUCACCGUCGCUGUGGAGAAGAGAAGAGAUCCAACGUUUACUGAGUAAACCUUACUUAUGUACCUACUAAAUACCAAGUACGACCCCAGCACUUCCCAGGACGUGUGGCUUCGUAUGGUCUUUACCACAAUGCUGGGAAGGUGGUAUGAUUGCUCCUGUUUUAAAGAUGAGAAACUGAAGUUCACAGAGAUGCAGACACGUGCCCUUGGGCACAAAGCUAAUAAACGGUGAGCCAAGUGACUCUGGUUUGUGUGGAUCUGGAUCCGGUGUUCUUUUAUCACAGAAACAGCUGGUCCGAGGACCUAUUAGGCUAUUGUUUAAAAUUAAAACCGUUUUCUUCAUUUCCAGUAAUGAGCUAGAAUUAAGUUACCGUGACUUGAGAUGAGGCAUUCCUAUCUGGGAGUUUUUCUGCUCAAAGAAGUUCAUCCCUUUUUGUCCCUUCAAAGGGAUCCUGUUUGUUUGCCCAUUUGUGUUAAACCCACCCCAGGUAUGUACAUUUCAUCAUUUCAUCUAGCCCUUUUAUUGGUUGUCUGCUCUGGUUUUUUUUUUUUUUUUCUUUUUUCUCUCAGAUUCCUUGUUCUCCAACUUCUCCUUCUGGUACUUUAGAUCCUAUGUCUUAGCCACUGUUCUCUCUCUGCCUUGGUCUGAACAACCUGGUUUGGUUUUCCUCUCUUUCGGUGCCGACACAGACCUGCUCCCAGGCAUCACGCGUGCCUGUGAUGGGCAAGUGUUUCUGGAGGCAGCCCCUAUCCUCCGGCCUUCCUGGUCCACAGAAGGUAUUGGGUCACCCUUAUCUGCACCAUAGUUUUAGUGCAGGGAUUAGUUUUUUACUUAGAAAUACCCUGACAGUACAAUACACAUUUCUGCUUUCUCAAUAAUAUUAAAAUUAUUAUAAUAUGGUGAAGCAAUGUCCUAAUAUGGUCAGAUCAUGAAGAAGGUCAAGACCAAGAGCCUCUUGACAGUUCUGUUGCUUUGUUUAUCUCUCUGCUGGCUUUUGCACUUAAUACCUUGUCUUUCUGCCAUCGGUGUAGCUUUUCAUGUGCAAUUGCCUUAGACAAACUUGAAGGUGCUUUUUAUCAUGCUUGAGGUAGGAGGGGCAAGGGCUUUUGAUAAGUCUCUCUCUCUCUCUCUCUCUCUCUCUCUCUCUCUCUUUUUUAAAGACAGAAAGAGAGUGAGAGCACAAGCAGAGGGGAGGGGUAGAUGGAGAGAGAAGAACGUAAGCAGGCUCCACACUCAGUGCAGAGCCUUGUGCUGGGCUCGAUCUCAUGACCCUGGGAUCAUGACCUGAGCCAAAACUAAGAGUUGAAUGCUCAACCACUGAGCCACGCGGGCACCCUAAUAAGUUGCUCUUGUUUUAAGGAGAUCUCUUUUGCUUACUUAUCUCUAUUACUCUCUGUUCUACAUGAUUAAAGUUGCCUGAACUAGGUGGUAUGUAGCCAAUUAAUAGCCCUACCUUGAGAAGGUUAUAUAUCUGUGGUCUCAAACUUUCAGCCAACUGAAAGCACUUCAUUAUUUUCUUUUCUCAUCAACCCAGUGUUUCGAAAGAUUUGAUCUGCAAAUUGCAUUUGUUUUUCCCAUUAUUCUAUUAAUUUCCCAGAAAAACACAAUUAUUCAGUGGCAGAAUGAGAUUCAAACCCUGUUGUGUCUGUUGAUUGAAAUCUGAACUCCUGGCCCCUGUGUUAUGGGUCAAAUUGAGAUAGUACUAGGUUGAACGUCUAGAAUUGUUAGCGUUUGACUAUUUUUGAUCUCCAAAAAUGGCAAUGGCUCCACCAAAAAAUUAUGGUUCCACCAAAAAUUAUUGGAUUGAAUUAAUAUCAUUUCAGACAAAACCGACGCUUUAUAUGUCAACUGGCCGAGGUAGCCUUAUCUUGGAAACCAUAUAACUUCUGGGAAAACUUUUGUGGUAAUGGCAGUCGCUCUGACACCACCUUACCUGCCAUGCACCCUUCCCCUAAUCUGCCCUGCUCUGCUCAUUCCUUAGACUUCCAAAGGCUCCUUGGGAUUGGCGACAUUAGCUUGGGAAACACUAAAUAAGUUGUAUACUACAAAUUAUGUUUGAUGGGUGUUUUUUUUUUAAGCUUAGUAUUCAUACCUCAUUAGUAUUCAAAUAGGAUUCUAGGACCUUUUCACUUAAACAUUGUCUAGUUCUUUGUCCUUAGUCAUGAAGUAAAGGAGAAACUUAGAAGAAGAAAGAGAGAGCAUAAAUUUGGAGGCAGAAAAACCCUUCAUGACUUGGACUUGUGUACUCUGAGUGAAGCAUGAGAUUGCUUAUGAUUUCUAACUAUAUGAAGGCUUCCUAUGUAGAAGUCAUUCAUCAUCAUCAUCCGUCAUCAUCAUCAUCAAAAUAGCUAACAUUUGUUUUAUAGCUUCCAAAGAACUUUUAUAUACUUUGGAUUCUCCUAACAUUCCUGUGAGACAGAUAUUAUUAGUUCCCUAAUUUUUCAGAUAAGGAUAUUGAGUGAAGCUCAAGUUCAUGGUAGUGGGCUCUUUGACUGUAGAGCAGAGCUGUCCAUUAGAACCUUCUGCAAUGAUGGAAAUGUUCUGUAUUUGCGCUGUUCAGUAUGGCAGACACAAGCCACAUGUGGCUAUUGAAAUGUGGCUAUUACGACUGAAGUUUAAGUUGGAAUGGCCACAUAUGCCAUAUUAGUACACCUCUAAAACCUGCAUUCUUUUCCUUGCCACGUGUUUUCCAUCUGGGGCAGGGAUUCUGCCCCAAAGGAAAAGGAAGGAACACAAACUCUAGCAUCUGAUUUGAUGGCUACAAAAGAAUUGUAAGAGGCUGAAAAGACUUACAAGAGGUUACACAUGAACCUUGUGUGAUAUUCUGAUUUGCCUGGGAUUCUUAAACUAUCUUAUGCCCAAAAAACCCCUCCAGGCCAGGCUAAAAUCCACACUCUCCCAGUUUCCUUCCAGCCAUAUGGUCUUAUGACAAACAUGACUAAUUCCUGCUCUGUUUGGUCUGACUCUUGUUAAUCUGCCAAAUGGUUAGUACCCAUUAUAAAGCAGCUUUUAUCCAGAGAUUCUCAUUAGCAUGUGAAAUUAGUCUAAGCCUAAACUCCAUUUUGCCAAAUCCCCCAUCAGUCUGCUCCUGAAAUAGAGUCUGUUCACAAUAGAGGUUUUGUUUGUUGAGUGUCAGGGCUAUCUUCCAUGAGGUCAGAUCAUUUGCUGCAGAUUUUUUUUUAAUUUUCAAAUGUAUAACACUAUUUGCUGCAGCCCAAACUUUGGUAGAAUUAUAUGUGUAUAUAUAUAUAUAUAUAUAAAUUUAUAUAUAUUAUAUAUAUUUAUAUAUUUAUUUGUUUAAUAUAUAUAUUUUAGUUAUAUAUAUUUAUUUAUAAAUAUUUAUUUAUAAUAUAAUAUAUAAAUAUUUAUUCAUAUAUGUAAUGUAUAUAAUAUACAUAUAUUUAAAACUUUUACUUCUGCUACCAAGAAGGAAUAUCUUUUGUUUCUCAACAAACAAAUUUCUUAUGGCUUCAUAACAAAUAAUUUUAAAUUAUUAUUUUGUUAAAUUUCACUUUAUCCACUGGUGCAUCUAAUUAUUCCCUUGUCACCAAAACCUCUCAGUGUCGCCAAGAAACCUUGCUUUUUCUACACUCUUCCAUCAGGGAUAGUAAGUAAUACAAAGAAUCAGACAUGGAUGGAUGAAGACAAAAUUAAAAAAAAUAAAGUCAUAGGAAGGAGGAUAGGUAUGUAUAUGUGAUUCCCCUAAAUUUUAUGGUUUAUUUCUUUCAAAAUAAUUUUUUAUUAGUUCUUACAAAAUAAUCCAUACUGAUCAGAAAAAAUGAGAAGUCUCAGAAGCAGUUAUCCCAAGACUUUCUCGAGUAAGUAAAAAGUUUUAAAAAGUAGUUUUGCUUCGUGUUUUCAAUGGACACUAGGUAGCCAACUCUUUAUUUGGUCAAAUAAAGACAAUUUUUUUUUAAAGUACAUCUUUUUAAAAAAAAAUUUUUUUACAUUUAUUUAUUUUUAAGAAACAGCGUGAGACAAAGCAUGAGCGGGGGAGGGGCAGAGAGAGAAGGAGACACAGAAUCUGAAGCAGGCUCCAGGCUCUGAGCAAGCAGUCAGCACAGAGCCUUAUGUGGGGCUCGAACCCACGAACCGUGAGAUCAUGACCUGAGCCAAAGUCGGACGCUCAACCGACUGAGCCACCCAGGCGCCCCAUAUAAGGACAAUUUUUAAAAAGAGAGAAAGAAAAAGAAAAUGAACAUUUUCUAUCACUUUCUUAGAAGAAAGGGUAUUAUAACACUAAAAAAAAAAGAAGAAAACAAUUUCAGAAUAAAGAAUAACCAUCUAAAGUAAACAAAUGCAACCUUAUAAGGCUCCUUGCAAUGUCUCUUUUUCCUCAUCUUGACCCAGACGUGGGAAUGUCAUGUUGGAAGAAAGACAUCUGUAGAGAAGAAGAUAACAGGCCACUUGAAUCCCACUUCGCAUCCUGUUCAAUGAUUUCAUUACACUUUAUUGGAAUAGUUCUGACUGUCUGUGAAGGAGAUCUGCAUUUUCGGUGGUGUUUCCCACCCCUCUCUGACUUGUCUAUCUCCCUUUCUACCAUGUUUGCAAUGCCCGCCUAAAGGAGAAGCCUCCAGGAGGAACGACUGCAAAUCAUGCUAUCAGUAGAAUCUUCAGAGACUCUUGAAUCACAUAUGUUUUUUCCAUCUUGUUGACUCUCUUUAAAAAAUAUUUAUUAGUUCAACCAAAAACAAGAUGGGAGAUAAGUUGAAUAAGAAACGUGUACCACAGUUUCCUCUGUUCCAGCCAAGAACAGUAACCAAACAUUAGGAGAACUUACAGUAUACCGGUUAAGAGCUUGGGCUUUGGAACCUGCUUGUUCUUAGCACAUCCAUUUACCAGCUUGGUAAUGUUCUGAGUGUUGGUUUUCCCAUCUGUAAGAUGGGGACACCUAUGUCUUCUCACCUGUUAAAGUUGUCAUAAAGAUUAGCUGCCAGUUUGUUAGUGUAGGAUCUGGACUGUGGUCAGGGCACUAUUGUGAGUGACAGCUAUUGUUAUUUUUAUCUGCAGGGCACUGGGCGCUGGGUGGAAGGUAAAGGAGCUUUUGUGUGUCUCAUUGUUCAGGGUGCAUUGUCACUGCUCACUAAGUAUCGAUCCUAAUCGUCAUAGAAAGUGGGUGCGUGCUUUUUGGAAAGGGCACGAAGGGUCUGUGCAGGGCAAAUGUCAGCUUCUUUGAUGUGCUGCUGGAUCAUAGCUAGCUUCUUAGAAACUCCAGCAGACUCAAAUUUGCCUCCUCCUGAAUGUCGAUAUUCUCUGACGUGAAGAAUCCAGGACGGAGAAGUUGAUAGAAAUCGCAAGUGUGGGUGGGAUUCCCUGCAGAAAAGCUGUCCAAGGAAUGCAGGGGUCUGAAUCCUGAAUCGUCAACCCUUUGUGAAGGGGCCCAAGAUCUUAGAUGCUUCCUGGGAGGGCUUCGCUUUCAGAGAAGACAAGUUCUAGGAAAAAGCUUGUCGUUUGAGGAAAAGCAAAUAUAUUUUUAUUUCUUCUUUCUUUAUUCUAAUUUUGUAUUUGUCGAGGGGCAGGAGUGGGAUGGGGGAAGAUGGAGUGGGUCAUAGAUGGACUGCAAAACUCCUCUGCAAAUCGACUGGGUGAAAGCAAUUCGUGUUCUAAGUAAGUAUUUUACUAUUUCUGUCCACCACAAACUGGCUUGGUUUUCCUUGGAAGGUUUUGGUUAAGGGGAGAAGAACGUUUUUGCUGCAGAUAACAUUUUUUUUUCUUUUUUCUUGGCUAUUCCCCUCACUAGGAAAGAAUGCUUGACAGCUUGCAAUGCCCCAGAUGGUAUUGUUUGAAUCUAGAAGUGUAGCUUGACUAAAAUAUUGCGGCUACAACCUUGGCAAAUUAUUUACCUCCCCUAAGCUUCCCUUUCCCCAUCUCUCAAAUGGGGAGGACAAUAAUACCUAGCUUAUAAGGCAUUUGGGAAGAACACAUAUGAUAAUGCUUGCAAAAAAUUGAGCACAGUGCCUGAGCAGAGUCAGGCCCAAGAGUCAGUUGACAGUAGAUUGUCUUGGGACAGGUAGAACUGGGCUCUAUGGGUCCCAAUUCAUUUCACUGAUUUUUUUCCCCUUGGGAACUUGUGGGGGUGUGUUUCCUCCAGCCAAUCAGAAGCAAAAGUCGGGAUGGUGGCAAAAGGAAUCAUUGCUUCUCCUAAGCACAAUCUUAAAAGAGUACUAUGUUUUCAACCCAUUUUAAGCUAACGUGUUGAUUUGAGAUUUGUUUAUUUACAGUGGAAAGAUACUAGACAAAGCCAAGAGAAAUAUGGCAUUAGAACAGUCAAGUUAGAGUGGAAGUUCUCUCACAUGCAUUCCGUCACCCACCCCUGGUGUAGGUCCUUGCCCCCUGCUGCACCCCCAGCUCAUCCCACUGUUAUCUGAGCACUUCUGACCCUCUGCCUCCCAGUAUUGGGCUCUCAGUCCCUCGCCUUUUUCUCCCUGUGCUUUCCUAGGGUUGAGUCAUGCUUUAUUUGGGACCUAGGGCUAUAUAAGCCUCCUCUCCCAUAGCUGUUGGAAAUGAAAGUAAAUUGACACACAGGUGCUCAAAAAAUGGUAAUAAAUUUCAAGAAAACAGCCUACCAGUAACUGGUGCCUUUUUUGAGUUUUCUAAGCCUGGUGAUAGGUUGUGUUGCAUCUUCCACAUUUUCACCUUUGUGAUAAACUCUUACUAAAUGGGUCGUUAGGCUUGGAGACGUAGCAGAGUUUGCGCUUUGACUUUUGUUUUUCUUGUAUAAAGCAAACUUUUCCACUAUGGGGGUGCAGUGUAUGCCUUUCAACAUGCUUAGUAUUCUGUUUUCCGAGUGCCUCACAGAUCUGGCUGCAUCUCAGGAAAAAAAAAUGGGGGCAGUGGUUUUCAAACAGUUCUGGACCUUGGCCCUGAGGAUAAUUCAGCGGGUCUGGACUGGCGCCUAGAGAUGCCCAUUUUUAUCAUCUGUCCUGCGAGCUAAUGAUGGAAUCAGGUCAAGGACCAGCAUUUAGGAAUUGCUCUAUCAGUGAUAAUUACCAGCACCCCCAUACAUGCUGUGGCUCCCCAGCAGAUAAUAAAUCCCUCCAUAGGAUUAGAAGCUCAAGGCCUCCCUUUUCCAAAGGAGACGGCCCUCAAAAAGAUUUUGAAUGAUAAGAAGCCAAGCCCGAUCAAAUUCCCAGGGAUGGAAUUUAACAGUGACUGAUUACUCAUCAUCUGCUAGUUGAGUAUCAUAAUAAAGAUGAAUGGGAACUUGGGAAAGAUCUCUCCAUAACUCACCUAUAGCAGUCAGUGCACUGUAGACCACAGGGAAAGAGGCUGGGCCCUGGGAUAAACUCUGGGAAGGGCAGUUAUUAGUUAAUAGGUACACACUGAGCUUAUAAAAUGUUUUAUUAAACGACAAAAUCCUAAACAUUAUACAGAGUUCUAUUUUGUGGUCCGUAUGCUGACUAAAUUCCCAGAUGACUUUAAUGAGCGAAUGGCAGCCCAUUAAAAUUACAGUAGUUUUGCAAAGAAAAUAGCUCCCCAGAGGAGGAGAAGAAAACCACCAGGCUGCUACUGUGUUGAUAAUUGUCCCGAGAGCUCCUUUCUCUUGCCCAAAGCUCGCUGGUGGAAGAGAGUCUGCUGUUCUGAAAACUGUUCCCCUCCUGUCUGGCCUGUCCUCCUAUGCCUGAGAGAUACCACUGACUCUUGCUAAUCAGUUCCCAGCCUUGCUGACCUUGAAGCAAUGGAGAAAACAACACCGUGUGUGCAUUUUGCUUAAUAAAGAAAACAUUAUUAACCACUGGGAGAGAAUGUAUUUGUUUUUUCCAUUUCGGUAUAGAAACCUUCGCUUUUUUUCCCAAGAGACGGUCUUGUGAAACAAUAACCUCCGAUUCUACUCAGUUAUCCAACUGGAGCCUCUGGCUUAUGUUAGAGGUCACUAGAAUUUUUGCUUUGUUUUGUCUUCAGAAAAGACACUGUUCCAUGCUAGACCAAAGGGACAGUCUCUGACAUCCUCUGUAUUUUUCUGAGUGCCUGUGCAAUGCCCAGACAUGAUAGGGACACAGCUAUCACUGUCUUAGGAUCGGUUCUACAGAGACGGCAUCUUGAAUAUUUCUUUUCUGUGCACAUCAUCAUGCAAACAUAUUCUAGAACCCUUGCCAUUACUGGUUCCUAAGUGGAGAUCAAUGUUCAACUGACAAAUUCUCAGAGGCAACAGAACAAAAAAGAUAUUCAUUAUAUUAAGUAAUAUUAUAGAAUACUAUAUGGAUGAUAGCACAUGGCAGCACUAUCCAAUGGAAAUUUCUAUGAUGAUGGAAGUGUUUAAUAUCUGUUCUAUACCUAUUAGAAUAGGUAGCUACACAUGGUUACUGAGCCCAUGGAGUGUGGCUAGUAUGACUGAGGAACUGGACUUUUUAAUUAAAUUAAAUUUUUAAGAACUUACUUCUUUUUAGAGCAGUUUUAUUUCACAUAAAAAUUGAGAGGAAGUUACAGAGAUUUCUCAUACACCCUCCAUGCCCUGUCUCAUGCAUAGCCUCCUUUCUUUAUCAACAUCCUCCAUCAGAGAACAUUUCUCAUGAUUGAUGAACCUAAUAAUGAUUGACACAUCAUUAUCACAAAAAGUCCAUAGUUUAUAUUAGGAUUCACUCUUUUUUUUUAAAGUAGGCUCCAUGCCCAAUGUGGGGCUUGAACUUACGACCCGGAGAUCAAGAGUCACAUGCUGUACUGGCUAAGCCAGUCAGGUGCCCCGGGGUUCACUCUUGGUGUUGCACAUUCUAUGGGUUUGGACAAAUAUUUAAUGACAAAUGUAUCCAUCAGUAUAGUAUCAUCCAGAGUAUUUUCACUGCCUUAAAAAUCUUCUGUGCUUUGUCUAUUCAUCUUGUGUCCUACCCCCCAUCCCUAACUUGUGGUAGCCACUGAUCUCUAUACUGUCUCCAUAGUUUUGCCUUUUCUAGAAUAUCACAUAUUUGGAAUCACACAAUACGUAGCAUUUUCAGAUUGGCUUCUUUCAUUUCAUAAUAUCAGUUUCAGUUUCUUCUAUGGCCUGAUAGUUCAUUUCUUUUUGGCACUGAAUAAUAUUCUGUUGUCUGGAUGUACUACAGUUUAUCCAUGUACCUACUGAAGGCCAUCUUUGUUGCUCCCACAUUUUAGCUAUUAUAAACAAAGCUGCUAUAAACAUCCAUGUGCAGGCUUCUGUGUGGACAUACAUUUUCAAAUAAUAUGGAGCAGGAUUGCUGGAUCAUAGGGUAGCCUAAUUUAAUUUUAAUGAAUUAAAAUUAAAAUCACAAGAUGUGGCUGGCGGCUACUGUGUCAGGUAGCCAGACACACACACACACACACACACACACACACACAUUCACAUGUGUGCACACACACACACACACACACAAGCUUUUUCCAGAAAGAAUUUGAAGCCAGGUAGGACAUAUAGUACAACCUUUAAAAGAAAAGCAAGAGUGAGGCAAUGUGGAGCCAAGAACAAAGGUUCAAAAUAUAUACCAGAGUUAUCUACUUCCAUUAUGGACUGGCCCUGACCUGAACUCUACAUUUUCUAACAGAGAACACAUAAAAAAGAAAAAAAGUCAAUUACCCAAAUGAGGAUGUCCAACAGCCUCAAACAAACCAAUUGUUUAGGAGAAUUACAAUGUAGUCCUAAGAUUAAACAGGAAUUCUUCCCAGACAUUCUCAUUUCAUCUGCACUGUUUUUCUUCUUAAAACCCUCCAGCAGCUUCCUACUGAACUUAGAAUAAAAUCCAAAGUUCUGACCAUGUUGGUCAGUCACAGUUCUUAGGUGCAAGAAAGGGAAGUGAACUGUGGUUGGUUCUAGCAGCGAAGAAAGUUAUUAGAAAGUGAUGGGAGUGGGAAGCAUAGAACCCCUAGGGAGGCUGCCGAAGAGGCUCAGAAAGCAGUCAGAGCAAGGAAGUACAGGUAGAGCCAGGACCAUAGUCAAUAUCUCACCAUGAGGCAUUUAGUGAGCACACUGCUCUUGCCACGGUUGAACAUUCCAGGCCACUGUGUGACGACCACUCCUACUCCUGUGAGAUGCUGAGCUCUGCUCUGCAACUGUGGCCCUGGUUGCCCCUGGAAACCUAUUCUGAUGUGAUGCUACAUCACCUGAACUCCAGGUGGAUUCGCCAGGAUUCACGCUUCUUUGCAUCACUAGCUUCCGGUUUAAAGACUGGGGCUUGUGCAUCUGAUUGGCUGAAUUAGACCAUGCACCAGUACCCACCUGCAAGGGAGGCUGGAAGAGAAAGUCCUUCAUGUUUUUAAGUUUUAUAACAAGAUUGGUAUGCCUCCUGUUAAGACUCAGAAGCUGAGAAAUUCCAAAAGUUCUUAAAAAAUAACAAAGGGGUUCAGCCACUGGGUAGACAACUGAGAAAGGAAAGAAUGGAAGGAGGAAGGAGGGAGGGAGGAAGGACCCACCAAACAUGCUACAGGGUCCUGUGUGAUCUGGCCCCUACCUGACUCUACAGUCUCUCCUUUGGUCACUAUUUUCCAGCCUACUGACUUUCUUUUUGUUUCUAUAACAUGCUUCUGCCUUUGCACUCACCAUUCCCUCUGACUACAAAGCUGUCUCAUGACUAAAUCUUUUCAUGACUGGCUCUUCAUCAUGCAAGUCUCCUUUACAAUGUCACCUCCUCAGUGAAGUUUUCUCUGGCCAGGUACUCUAAUCCUAGUUGUCCUUGCUUGUCACUCUCCAUCUAUUCAUUCUUUAUUGUAUCAUUCUAUCUUGUCUUUGCUCUAACACGUGCCACUAGGCAAUACCAUGGUAUCCAUUUAUGGACUUGUUUGUGUUUGUCUUUCCCUUCCCUGACCCUGAAACAGAGGCUCCAUGAAAGCCGGGAUUCCCUACAUCUUGCUCACCACUGCAUCUCCAGCACUUAGAACAGUACUUAGCUCAGGGUGAAAGAAGACAAGAUUUGUUGAGUGACUAACCAAUGUAAAUCCUUUACAUCACAUUUGAUAUAACAGUAUGUCCCAUGUAACCAGUUAUAACAACUUGAGGACUACUGCUAGUCAAAUCAUUUAUAUUGGAAGAAUGCUUUCCAGCUUUACAGUUUCUCUUCAUUAUUUUAUUUAUUCCUCAAAUAACCCAGUGAUAGAUAUAUCAGCAUAUGUGUGGCCCAGAGCAUGGAGACAAUCACUCCUAUUGUCUGCUACCCAUUAGUUGAUCCUCAAGACCAUAGACCUGUAGUAGCUUGAAUAGUUAAAUUAUGUUGAUUGCCAUAAUGUUUUGAUUGCUAAGAUGUUACUUAUUUGAACACUAAGAAUUUUAAAAAUCCAGUGCAGUAGGCCCCAUGUAGAGAAACACUUGGUAAGACUUAAAAGAGGAGGGGGUUUCCUACUCCACCUGCCUGUUCUGAUCUGUCGGCUCCAAAGUGGACCUAACUUAUAAGUCCUUAGCUUUUCAAUCUCUACCCUGAUCUGCUAAGUAGACUUCCCACAAGUUUUAUUUUUGGCAUUCUCCUUUCUUAUAGUCGAUAUUCUACUUUUUGAGUGACAGAAGUGGUUUCCUACUAAAUUUUUUUCUUGAACGAUUGGUGCCAUAUUUUUUUUCAAGUUAAGGAAACUCUGCCAAUAGCUUUGGAACAUUAUUUGUAUUUUGGGACUUGAUGUCACCUAAUGGGGAGGUCACAUCAUUGAGACUAACUAUAAUAAAAUAUAUUGGCCCAGUUAAGUAUCAAAACAUGGGGCAAGGGAGGACGUCACUUUUUCUUUAAUUCUUUAAUCCCACCUCACUGUCCAUUUUGAGAUUCCCAGAAAGAAAGUCCUGUUGCCCAGGGUGCUGUCUAGUUGGAAGCAGAAAUCUGCACUGGGGGCAGGUGGUUGUAGAUGCUUCACCAACUGAGCCCUGUUGAAGGAUCUGAGGAUCAACAGGUAAACUAGAUUAGGGCAGCCAUUUGUGGGUUCUAAGUUGCACACUGCCUCUAGCCUAUACCAUACGCAUAGAUAUUGUAGUGAAGAAUGAAGGUCUGGGACAGAAAACCCGCCCUGGGGAUUCCUUGAAGGUUGUAGGAGAUGCCUGGCCCUUCAGACUAGCCCUGUAGUCUAGAGAGUUUAGGAAGUGAUGAUGCAUACAACAGAUGUGCAGGGUCACAUUUGUUCUCGACCACGCAGAAGUUAGCCACUGUCCAGAUGGAAACUCUGGCCAAGUUAACUUUACUGUAGAAUCUCUAGACGGGCCCAGAGAUUGACAAGUUCUCGAACUAUUUCUUAUAAGAGUAGCAGUACUUCUAGGAGAAGGCACAUCAAUUUUCCCUGUGGCUAUGAUAUCACAAGAUAAUAGACUGCAUUUGGCACGAGGCCAUGUGCGCACUUUAUUCUGCAAGCUCUAAAUGAAAACUGGUUUUGUUACUGUGUAGUUACACCAUACCAAGAGCACGAUUGUUAUUUCCUUUAUAUCUUAGAAAUGGUUAUGAUGUUUUAAAGGGAACACUUGUACAUGGAGGUAUAAGGUUUUGAUCAGAAGAAGGCUGGGCGGGGGUGAGAAAGCUGGGCCUUCCUUGAUCCUUGCCUCUCCUGGUUCUGUUUUGGUCCAUGUGCCGUGUUGCUCCUGUCUGAGGAAUGCCUUCAUGUUCUUGAUGCCAAUGAGUUCUUUGCUCCUAGGACCACUAUCUCCACUCACCAUCGGUUUGGGUGACUGCAGAUCUUGAGACAGGUUUGGGAGAGUAACACCAGGAACUGAAAACCUGGCCUUCUCAUUUUAUGAGUGAAAUCAGCUUUUUAAGGAAUGAGUGGAGGAAGAUGAUUUUUCCCCUGUGAGGCAACUUCACACAAAAUGGAAGGGGGAUGCGUGAACCAGCGUAAAUUCAGGGUAAACACAGUUGCAGUUGUUAUUAGGUGCUAUCGUGUACAGGACACAGCGAUGUGCUGGGGAUACAAAAUGAAUAAAGUGUAUGUGCCAGGAGCUCAUUGGCCGGUGGAUAAUAGUAAAUAACCAGACCAAAGGUCUCCAUAAGUUUCUUUUAGAAUUUAGAGGAGGGGCACCGGCUUAACCUGGAAAGUAUGAGUAAAUGAGUAAAUCUGACAGAUGAUGUCAAGCGAAGAGAGGUGGGACAAUGGAUCCAAGUCUUUAAAAAGAAUUCAGAGAAAGACACAGGCAGAAGGAGAAGGGUUCUAGACAGGGAGAAUAGCACCUGAAAGUGAAUGAAAUCAGAGCAGUUACAAGGGACUGGUCCAGAAAACGCAAAGCUGGGGAGGGUGGAGAGGAGGGUGAUGUCAUCUGAACCGCCAAACUUUCUGAAGAAACAAACAUGGCAGCAUCGUGUGAGGUCUGAGUCUGGCUGGAGAUCUGUAAAACAAUUAUGCUGACAAUAAGCUCACUUACAAGGGUCAAAAACAAGAUGCAUGUCACAUACAUCAAGCUCAUUCAGACAUGUGUCGGGGGAAACUGAGAGACUUAAGUCCAAGCAAUAUUGUUAAUAUUCUCCAUCAAAUGCUGGAUCCAGGCCAGAGAGAGUUUUCUGUAAUAAAUUUUUUUCUUUGGAUUUUAUCCUGUGUGAUAUAUAAAGCUUAGGGCUGUCUGUUGAGACACAUUCUUUAAACCAGAAACAACUGACAUUUUGGUCUUGUAGAAGUUGAGUGUGUAUGGCUCCAAUCUAAAAGGGAUGGAAAUUAUUUUUAUUCAGCAAAGAAUCUUUGUUGGAGAUAUUAUAAAGCCCACUACAAACAUGAAGUCACUGAGCCUUCCUCUUUGCAUGGAAAAAUGUGCCCAACUGGCCCAUGUGGAAAUCAAUUUUCUUUCCUGAACUGUCAAAGAGGCACCAAUAUGGGGAUUGAACUUAAUAGGUCUGGAGACACACACACCAGUCGGGCACCAGGCGCUUUUCUAAGGACUGGCCUAGCAGGUGCCAUCUUCUUUAACACCGGCCUGCAGCAGUCAUUCGGGAAUUCAGUAAGUAUUUAGGGAGUGCUUUCAUGUGCCAGGCUCAGCUCCAGCCUGUGGGUCACUGUGGCCAACAGGACAGAAAGAGGCCCCUGCUCUCAUGAAACUCAAGCUCUGGUUGAGGCACUUGGCAGUCACAGAAUCAUAAACAGGAGAUUACCAGGGGGUGGUUCAUGCCCUGAGGACAAUCUAAUGGGAUCCUGGGAGAGGGAAUGGCUGGUGGGAAAUGGUCAGGGAAGGUCUUCCUGAGGAAGUGAUACUGGGCGGAGGCUCAGACAAUAAGGAGGCAGCUACACAGAGAUCCAGGGGGAGGGAAGAGCCAAGUCCUUGCAGAAGGAAUGGGUUGGCAAGUUCACAGGUGUUAAGGGACGGUUCAGGCUGAGGCUUCUGAGACCAGCCUGCCCGGGUUCCAUCUCAGCUCUGCCACCUGCAACUGUAUGAUUUCAGCCAUGUUACUUAACCUCUCCAAACUUUACUUUUUUUCCUUUGUAAAAUGGGAAAUGUUAGAGUAGCUGCCACGGACAUUAUGAGGUAGAGCAGGAAGAAUGUCUGACAAAGAGUGUGCUUGAGUCAGUGUUGCUCUUCCUUUUCAAUAAUUACUUCAACACGUUUUUAUUAAGCAUCUACUAUAUCCCAGACAUUAUCCUGCAAACUCAUUGUCAGGUGUCUUCUUCUUCUGUCAAAGUUUGGGGAAACAUUUCCCUCUUUCGACUAUGACCUUAGGGUUGACAGAAGACAUAUACGUAGGGGAGAAGCUAUUUAUUGCAAUAUCACUCGUGGUACUUGUGAGUUAAAUGGAUUAUUGUACCUCAAAACCCUUAUUUCUCUGAUAAAUACUUAUUGUGUGCCUGCUCUGUUAAGCACUAUUUUAGGUACUUGAGACAAAUCAUGAACAAAUUAAAGCAUUUGAGCUCAUAAAUUUUACAGGAGAAAACUCUUGGAAAAGACUUUUCCAUGUCUAAUUUGAUUAGAGGUUCCAACAAACAAUUCUAAAAAGGUAUGAGAGGCUCUUGUAAGCUUUCUCUGGGUACAACUGAACACACACACACACACACACACACACACAAAGUAUUUCCCUUUGGACCACCAGCAAAAUUGCAGUUAUGAUUUGGGUUCAUGGCUGCUCAUGAUGAUAAAAACUCCCUUGAGGCUAGAUUUGAGGCAUCAUUUGGGGAAAUGUUAUUUCAGGUGCCCACCACCUACUGACCCGAGAUGCGGCUUUCUCAUUGAAAGAAGGGAAAGUGAUGGCUGCUGAUAGCAAUCACAUCGGCUGGUUGUGCGGAUGAAGUGAGGUAAUAUAGGCAGAGGGUAUAGCAUGGCGUCUGGCACAAAGGAAAUAAGAACCCUGGCAGUUAUUCAUAUGCAGAUAUUUUAGACCCAUGGCAUAAGGUUCCCCGACCAAAUUGUCGUGGCUAGAUGGUCUUGGGAAAGAACCACACCCAUGGACUGAAAACCCGCUUGUUCUAAAUUUGAAGCUGAGCAAUACAGGCUGUAACCUCAUUAGCUCUUGGCCAAUGGCACUAUGCUGUCUCUUGAGACAAAUGUGACUAAAGUAUCACUUGGGACAGAGGACAAACAUGUUGGGUAAGUAUGCUGAACCAGGAACUCUUGGGUUGCGUUUUCCUCUAGGACACAAAUGGGUAGAAAGGCAAAGAAAAUGAAACUAUUUAAGAUAAACUGACAUUUUGUUUUUCUAAGCAGAACAAUGUUGAAAAUUUGAGUAAUAGGAGACUUGAAAAACAUUCCAAGCAUAUAACAAGCUUUACGAUACCUAUUCAUCCAACAAAUAUUUAUUAACACAUGCUAUAUUCAGGCCAGAUUUUCUGACUUUUCUAGGAUCCUAGUCCUCAAUUUCAUCAUGUAUCUAUUGUACUCAUCCCAAACUUAUUCUGAAAGUAUGGCUAAAAUUUAUCCAACUUCCAAACAAGUCAGCAUAUUAAUAGGGAACGUGUGAGUUUUCUUUUGAUUAAACUUUGAAAUUUAACUAGUAAGUCUCUGGAGAGUGCAGUUGAUGUUACUGUCAACAUUAUGCAGUCGCUGAUCCAACAGGAUCUUGGCCAAAUUUGUUCUAACUGUAGAACAGGGAGAAGAAGUCUAUAGACUUGUCAAUGUCCGCUUUCCCCAAGCCUGUUCUUCUCCAGGAAAGGACAGAAUUUGGUUUGCACACCAGUUUGUAUAGAUAGAGACAUACAUUCAAUUUCUCCAUUAUCUGCUUUUCUAUCUUUAUGUCCUACCUUUAUUGGUACCCAGACCUGAGACAUUACAAGAAAAGAAAACCAUAGACUUCCAUCUCUCAUGGAUAUAGAUACAAAAAUCCUCAGCAAAAUAAUAGCAAAUUGCAUGCAAUAAAAUAUAAAAAGGACAAUACAUUAGGACCAAGUGAGUUUCAUUCCAGGAAUGCAAGGCUGGUUGAACAUUCAAAAUCAACAUUCAAAAUCAACUAAUAUAGUUUACCCUAGUAACAGACUGAUGGAGAGAAGCUAUUUGGUCAUUUCGAUAGAGAGCAAGCAUUUGACAAAUUCAACGAUCACCUGAGAUAAAAACUCUCAACAAAUUAAGAAUUCUUCAACCUGACAAAGGGCAUAUGUGAAAAAUCUACAACUAAUAAAAUAAUAUUAAUCUAUGGUUAUCAGUCUUGGUGGUAAGAGACUCGAAACUUUCAACCAAAGAUUGGGAACAGGCAACGUUCUGCCCUUUUACUGAUCUUAUUUCACGUAAUCAAGAAACAAAGUAAAGAAGGUGUACAUCCUAGAAAAGAAAUAAAUCUGUCUCUAUUUUUAGACAACGUGAUUGUCUAUGUAGAAAAGCCUAAAGAACCUACAAAAAUGCUCCUUGAACUAUAAAGUGACUUUAGCAAGUUUGUUCAACACAAGAUCAACACAUAGAGUCAAUUAUAUUCCAGCAAUGAACAAUUGCAGAUAAUGAGAGGUUGGUGUUCACUGUGGAUGGUUAUAGAGAAGCAAAGGGGUAAUGCUAGAAUGAACCCAGCGGUGUUGGACUGGAGUCAGAGAAAUCAACAUAAAUGCACAUUUGUCUUCACAUGUAUACCUUCAAGUAGACACUGAAGUAAAUAUGUACAGAUAAAUACAUAUAUAUGUGUCCUAGCUCUGUCCACUAAAAGCAGGGACACCCCUCAGCAACAAACACAUCUGAUAAUGUUGCUUUCUCCAAAUGUUAAUCUCCAGAUUAACUGUUAGCUACUAUAAAUUAAUCUCUAAAUUUCUUGGUGGUUCUACUACAUUCUUCAUCUGGUCCCGGAUCCGAUGUACAAUCUCACAUUGCAUUUGCUACUUACUGUCUCUUCUUACUCUCCUCUGAUUUGUGAUACUUUCUCAAUCUUUCAUAACCUUUGAAGAGUCCUGACUGGUUAUUUUGUAGACUAUUUCUGAAGUUGUGCUUUUCCCAGUUUGGGUUUUGUCUGAUGUUAUAUGCUGCUUCUCUGAUCACAUUGCUCUUGAUUUAAAUACAAAUACAUAAUUCAAGAAUGUUUUUUUCUCUGACGGACAUUACCUGGGCAAUCUUUUCUGAUGUCAAAUAUACACCUCUGCCGGGAAUUAGUUUUUAUUUGUGAAGCCUUUUCCGAGGCUCUUAAUGUGGGCUUUUUUUUUUUUUUUUUCCUGGUUCCAUCUUUGGAGGAGGUGAAGAACAAUCCUCAUUUCGAGCCCCCUCCUCAGGAUUCAAACUGACAGCAAAGGAAUAGGUGUGCUUCCCUCAGGUCUGGGAGACUAAUCACAGAGGCAGGGCCACACUUUGGCCCAUGCAGAGAUGUCUCUGGUUUUUUGAAAUGAGAGCAAGGCUCUUCAGCCAAAGGUUCUGUCUCCUCCCUUUUUAAAAUUAAAAAAAAAUUUUUUUCAUUAAACAUUUUUUUUUAAUAUUUAUUUAUUUCUGAGACAAAGAGAGACAGAGCAUGAGCAGGGGUGGGCCAGAGAGAGAGAGAGAGGGAGACACAGAAUCUGAAGCUGGCUCCAGGCUCUGAGCUGUCAGCACAGAGCCUGACGCUGGGCUCGAACUCACAAACUGUGAGAUCAUGACCUGAGCUGAAGUCGGUCGCUCAACCAACUGAGCCACCCAGGUGCCCCCUGUCUCCAUCCUUUCCAACACGGAAACUCCUCUUCUGAGUUGCUGAGCACGCAGGUACCCACCUCUGCAGGUUUGCCUGCCAAACGCUUGCUUUGGGUUUGGGCUUAGCCUCUUACUCUUUAAACAAAGGGAGUAGAGACCCAGCGACAUCUCCAAAUGCACUCUCUGCCUUUUGAAGCUUUGAGAGGCUCCUUGCACGGGCAUAAAUCAAAGGAGAGGGAGCUUACUCAUUUAGCUCGUCAGAAAAAUCCCACUGUCAUCAUGUCACAUACAAGAGUUUAUUCUUUUAAUAGCUUUAUUCUUUUCCCGUUAGGAAAGGAAUUAUUCCAGGGCACUCAUUCCAUACUGUAUAUUAGCCAUUUCAUUUUUCACAAAGGGAAAAAAGCACCUUUCCACACAUGAUUAAUACUGCAGUUGAAUACCAGAAGAGCCGACCAUGUGCUGGCUUUGGGCCAUCCAUCAGCAAUUUAACAUCUGUAAUCUAGCCACAGUGAGUCACUGCUAACAUCAUGAACAAAUCAUGGCUGGUCCGUGGUCAGAGCAGUUUAUGGACCUUGUGUGAGCAGAACACGCAUUCUCUCCUGGGAUCUGAAAAUGAGGAUGGCCUAUAAGGAAAGCCACAUAUGAGAGGACCCAUAGAGUUUUGUCUUUAAAACAUGCCCUUUUUAAAAAAGUUUAUUUAUUUAUUUUGAGAGGGAGAGAGAAAGAAUGAGUGGGGGAGGAACAGAGAGAGAGGGAGAGAGAAGAGAGGGAGAGAGAGAGAAUCCCAAGCAGGCUCUGCAUUGUCAGCGCAGAGCCUGAUGUGGGGAUUGGACUCACGAGAUCAUGAUCUGAGCCAAAGUCAGACACUUAACUGACUGAGCCACCCAGGUGCCCCAAAACAUUCCUAUUAUAUUCUUGCCAAUGGGAGUUCAAAGCCCUCUUCUUCUCCUCUUAAAGGAGAUCAGGAAGACAAGAAAGGCUCAUGUUCUAGAGACAAGGAGGCAAGAAUUGUCAGAAUGGGGCUGUUUGCAGGAUCGGAACAGUGGCAUAAAUAUUCUCUGAUUUUUUUCUCCAAUUGGUCUGAAUUGAUAGCACAAGUUGGAACCAACUGGAUGGGGUUGGCAUCCCAGUUCACAACUGAGCAUUUGUCUUUGGAUGAGCCGCUUAACCUCUCUGACCUCCUGUUGUCUCUGGGAUCUAUACCCACAGCCCAGGGCCCGUGUGUGAGGCCCCGUGGAGCUGCACUAACAUAUGUCCUGGUGCCUGACGCAUAGUAGGUAUUCACAGAACAUAUGUUUCUGCUCUUCCCUGCCUCUGUCCUCUCCAAAGAGAACUACGUGUCUUGGUCAGGAUUAACCUAUCAAGACAACUUUUCUGGAAGUUAGUUGAAGGGCAGAUCCUGUAGGGGAACAUGAAUAGCUUUAUAAAUUGCCUUCAAAAGUCGCACCGAAUCCUUUAGUCAGUUUUAAAGGAACUGUUUACCGCUGCAUAUGGCAGUCAUUAUUUGGAAUAAUAAACCCUCUGAGAAUCUGAACAUUCAUGGGCCAACAGAUGGGUCAACUUGCUUCGCAAUUUAACAAAGUAAUUUAUUUCAAUCACCGGGACAGGGCAUGUGAAGAUUACUAAUUCAGUUCACAAGCAAAAGGAACAAACACCAAUACGUGGCUGAAUUGUGCAGCCAUUAUGGAAAUGCACACCUGUUCAAUUGGUUUUGAGACGGUCUUCAUUUCGAUUAGUCUUUCCUUUCCUUCGAAGGUGUGUAUAAAUUGCCGUGGAUUCUUCUGCCGAAACUCAUGUGCUAAUUGGCGUCAGGAUGAGAUAAAGAUCUCAGGGAAAAUUUAUACCAUAGCGCAGGUAAAAUUAAGGUCAUCAAAGUCGGCGUUGGGAAGUAAAACAGGUGUAUCAGAAGUAUAUUCUUAUAAUAAUUGGGCAAUGUGUUGUUCUUUCUUCUUGAAGCAGUCUGCCCAGGGUUUAAUAGGGAAGGAAAAAAGCCAGGAUCUUCCAUCGUUCAUCUUUGGAUCUGCUUAAAUCUUCCACAUCUUGACCUCCUCUCUCUUUCUCCAUCCAUGCUUGCUUGGGCCAAAGGGAGCAAGGAAUAGAAAAGGCGGUCAGAGAGUUUCUCAGGACAUGUCUGUCUGUGCUCAGAAGUGGAAUUCAAGGUGUUAAAAAGAACUGGAGUGGAAUACCCCCGAUCUUCCUAUCUCUUCACCCCACACCCUCAUACCGAAUUGGACAGAACCUCCAUGACGUUGUCAGGAAGCUUCCCACAGAAGAUGGCGCUCACCAUAUGUUCGAUUAGAUUGUUAAUGCUACAAGGAUGGUUUCGUUGUCCUUUUUGAAAGGAAGAUACUUUUCUUUCUUCUAUAUAGCCUUCCUCCACUUUGAGAACUGCAGUUAUUAAUUCAAAGUAAAUGACUUCUCUCUUCCUCACCAUCCCUCCCUGAAUAUUUAUUUAUUGCGUUGCCUUCUCUCUGCCAGAGGCCAGGCUGGCCACUGUGCUUUUAACCCUACAUCAUCCCUCAGACAGCGGGGAGAUGGAGGAAGAUACGGCAAUUAUCGUUCAGCGGAGAGAUUGCUACAGUUGGAGGUGAGUGUGGGUUAUGAGGGGACACCGAGCCAGAGCUAUUAGAAGACCUUUCUUUCUUUCUUUCUUUCUUUCUUUCUUGUCUCCGUGCAUAUGAGGACAGUGAAUAAAUAUCCCAGUAGGGCUGCAAAAUUGCGAUGUAUCUUGCAAGUUUAUACUUACCAAAUUUUCAACACCCACACAAACUCAGGGACUGUACAUAUAAACUCCUUUAAAGGCAGCAAGUCUCAGUUUGAAAAAUUCCACGGAUCCAAGGUCUGGGCCAAGUGGCCCCCCCUUACCGCCGGGCCCACCUGGCCCUCGCUGUCCUGCCUUCUCAGCUCCCCUUAGCUCCAUUUGGACGGCCUACCUCCCCACAUCCCUGCCCGGCCUCUCCUGAGCACUUUAAGCUCAAAGUGUCUCAAACCCACAUUUUCAUCCUGUCCUCAGUCACCAAAUCAGUAUUUCUGUCUCCAGUGCCUCUUGAGGUAGCACCGCAUUGUCAUUCCCCUAGUGCUUUGGCCUUGUCAUCGUUCCUGACACUCUGACCUGUUUUCAAGAACAGUUGGCUCUUCCUCUGCUGGUACCUCCAGCCCCACCUACCCUGUCCCUCCUCACUGCCCCUUGCCUCAGCUAGGGCCCUGGGGCCGUUCACCUGCAUUUUCUCAAGCCUGGCCAGAGGCGUCUCCUCCUCCAGCCUCUCACCCACACGCUCCACCUCUCGCCCACCUGGCAGACUGUUCCUCCUGGUACCCAGGCCUCCCCCAGCUCCCUCUGGCCCACGGAAUAAAAUUGAAACUUGCCAGCCUGAGGAUCAGCCCUUUCUAGAAGAGUCACUUCCCAUUCCUCUCUCUUAUCCUUCCCUUCACACACUUUAAGUGCACAAUAAGCAAGAAUGCUGGCUGUUCCUCAAUUUCAUCUUUGCUUUUCCACCUCUGAGUGUUUACGGACGCCGCUCCUCUGCGGGCGAUCCACCGCUGAAAUUCUGCUUGUUGAAACUCUAUCCUUCCUUUAAAGUUCACUUCAAAUGCUUCAGGAAACCGUCCCCCCUCUCCCUGCCCCCCUUGAGCCAGAUGCACGGUUCUGUCUUUUGAACACUAGUAGCUCUUUGAUUCUUUUACUGUCUUAUGGAACCUAUCUUUUCCUGACUUGCAUUCAGCUCAAUCCCAGUCCACAUACACUUAGCAAGUACCUGUUAGGAGCCAGAGACUGUGGUAUGUGCUGGGGGUAAGCAAGAUAGAUACAGAAGAUCCCUUUCCGGGGCACCUGGUGGCUCAGUCAGUUAAGCAACUGACUCUUAAUUUUGGUUCAGGUCAUGAUCUCCUGGUUCAAGAUUUCGAGCCCUGUGUUGGACUCCACACUGACAUCAUGGAACCUGCUUGGAAUUCUCUCUUUCUCUCUCUCUCUCUUUCUCUGCCCCUUCCUUGCUCUCUCUCUCUCUCUCUCUCUCAAAACAAAUAAAUAAACUUAAAAAAAGAAGAUUCUUUUCUUCAUGCAGUUUAUAGUGUAAUGGAGGAAGCUGACAGGUCAAUAGUCAAUUAUAAUAAGAUGAUCAAGUAAGAUCGUAUCCGAUGGUAGUACAGAGAUGGGCUGCUCACGUAGACUGUAGGAGAAGCAGGCCCAGAGUGGGGGAGGAAGAACCCACACACACAACCUUCAGUCAUUUAUAUUUUAACUUAUCUUUUCUGGGUGGACAUGUUCUUGAGGGAACCUGGCUCAUACUGCUGUAUCCCCUGUAGGUCGGAGUAUGAUGCCUACACAUAGGCAAUGAAACAGUGUGGAAAGAUUUUUUUUUUCCAAAAUAACGUGUUAAGUCUUAAGUUUGCAGGAAGUUCCCUGGUGGAGAAAUAAAAGCCUCAGGAGAAAAGUAAAAUAGAGUAAAAUGCAAAGAGGAUUUCUGACAGUAAAGCUUGUACAUAGUUCCAGAGCUUGAAUUGGCCAAUAUGCUGUCUCCACGUGGAGAGCUGUCUUCAUCAUUUGUCCCAUUUUACAGCUUUCACAAAUAAAGGUACAGGCUUUGGAGCUGAGAUCGGGAAAAAGCCUCUGAAGUCCAAUGGCUUUGCAGCACCAUUAGUCUCCUCCGGAAACUGCCAGGACCUUUAGUAGAAUGAUUUAUGUAGAGCCCACCGUAGGGGUUGGAUAAGCAAAUGCUGAGCACCGAACGUGGUAGAGUUUGAGGGAAACCUCAAUCUUAUAAUAUGUUGGCUGGGAUCUACAGACUGGCAAGCUGUUGGCCAAACCCUUUUCUUUUCCUUCUCGGGAUUGGAUGUGCGGUCCUCACCUCACUUGUGGUUCGUUUGGUCAGGCGACUGAGUUCUAGCCCAUGGAAUGGGAGCAGGCCUUGUGGCCACCACCUCUGCCUUCGGGCUCUGUCUCUUUGCUGCAAAGUGCCCUGUGGAAGAUGCAGUCAGAGAUGGAAACGGUUAGGGUCUUUGCAUUUCCAUGUGAAAGCAUCCAGCUUGCUUGGCACGCCAUGUUGGGCUGUUCGGUGAGCAAGAAGAAAAUUUCCACCAUGUCAAGCCACCGAGACUAGGGUUAUUUGUUAGAGCAGCUGGUGUCACCCUAACUAAUACAAUCCACCCUCCACCGUGUUCAGGAAAGUGACGACAAAGAAGCAAAAGCAUCCCUGACGGGCUCACUGAGAGACCAGACUUGCCUUGUGCUGGGUUCGUUGCUUUGUCUCUGAAUGCCCUCGGUGGGCCUCUGGAAGCUGUCGCUUUUAGAUUUGUUCAAUAGUAUGUUUGAAGUUGUUCUGCACUAAAUUAAAAAAUCAGUAGUUUGAAUGUGGAUGCAAAUUCCUAAUAGCUUUAGCAACUGAAGAAAAAUUUCCAGAUGUUUCGCAAAGCACUAAAAUACUGUACAUUGUUUUCUUUUUCAAUGGGAAAUUAUUCACAGGGCAAUAAAAAGUUGUUUUUUCAGUAAACAGAUUAUGUUUCAGUCUGCGGUGUGAACACUUAAAUGGAACGAUGCAAUAUGCCGCUCUUUUAAAAGAGGGUUUUAAACAUGUCAGUACAAACCUUUCAGCCCUCUGUCCCAUAAAUUCCACUUUUUAAAAUGAAAUCAACCUGAGCCUUGUGAAAGCUCACACUACUAUAUCAAAACCAGUGAAAUCUGCCUGUUUAUUGCCGCUGAUGGAAUGUGGCAAAGAAACAUUCUUUUCACAUGGGACAAUUUCUUCAACUUUACACCAAGUGAAAUUUAAUUGCUUUCGCUUCCUGGAAUCAUUAGGCAUUAGUCCCUCUGGAGGCGGAGCCAAAAGAAGAAGGUGAAAAAUACGUCUGUGUUUAAUACAUCUCACCUUGGAAUUUUUAUCCUUCUUCCCUCCCUUACUGGUGAUGUAGCAGGUUCCAGCCUGGGAAGGCACUUCAGACAAAUUUAAGGAGGAGGGAAAUUAUAAAGGAAAAGAGGCAACAGGUGUCCUGUAAUGACCAGUAGCCCCCGCAGAGGUAAAUGGCAUUCAAAGCAAUUCCCGAUCAUUGCUAUCAGUCCAACACUUGGAAAUUUCUGAUUCUUUCAAGUUCAUUUUUGGGGUGUGUUUUUCGUCUUCACACACAAAAAGGUAGUAAGUGCAGUACCAAGUCAGCAAAAAGAAGCACGGGCAAGCGUUUCUCUGGGCCGUGCUUGUAUUCCCGGCCGGAUGGUCAGAAUUGGACGACACAAGUGCUGUGCAAGAUUGGUAGUUGUGUUGCAACAGAUUGUCUCACUUUUCAAUGGGAUUCAUGGAUCGUUUUCGAGUUAGUUAUAACCCAUCUAUUAGAGUUCUUCAUGGAGUUUUUGAAUGAGUGUUGCGGUGAAUACUUGACAGGAAGAAGGAGAAAGGGUGAAAUUAAAGGCCUUUGAUGAAGUGACCACCCUAAAUGAAGGUGAGCAUUCUCUUCACGGACAAGGGAAGACAGAGGGGAACGAGAGCUACUGGGAACUCAGGGCUUCCAGAUCACACUCCCUUCGUAGAGUGAGGCAUACCUGUGUUACAUGUUGUAAAUGUCCCCAUUUCUUAGAGCCCUCAUCCCAAGAUAACCUGCAAAGCACUCAUUGUGGUCCUUGGAAGGACAUGGUGAAUAGAUGUCUGAGAUUUGAAGACCCUUCACUCUUGGGAGCCACCAAGGACGGGAUACAGAGUUGAAAAAUGUCCAAGGGGGAAAGCAGAGCAGGACUUUUUUGGGGAGAAAGGGGAAAAACAAUUGUGAGAAGAGCAAUUUCUUUACAGGCAGGAAUUUCAAUUUGCACACAUGUUGGUUUCACAGUUCAAUAGAACUGGAUUCUGAGCGUCCUGGAAAUCAGGUUUGUUUUUUGUCUUUGUUUUUUAAAACGAUGGGCACCAUUCAUUCCUAAUGGAGAUCUAUGAACUCUGUGUGUGUUGUGUGUAUUUAGACAAUGAAGAAAAUAAUUAUUUCCUAUUAAAGCGCUUUACAAUGUGGAUAAUUUGGGGUGCCCGGGUGGUUGAGUCGGUUGAGUGUCCGACUUCAGCUCAGGUUAUGAUCUUACAGCUCGUGAGUUCGAGCCCCACAUCGGGCUCUGUCUGACAGCUCAGAGCCUGGAGCCUGCUUCGGAUUCUGUCUCCCCCAUCCCUAACCUGCCCCUCCCCCACUCACACUCUAUCUCUCUCUCUCUCUGUCUCAAAUAUAAAUAAACAUUAAAAAAAAAUUAAAUGUGGAUAAUUUGGGUGCAAAAAAACCCCCAACUUGAUUGAAGUCUCUAUAUUUCAUUAUGUUUGAUUACUCAGACUUCCGGUUUACUUUGAAGGCAUAUUUUUCAGAAUAAGAGGAAAGAAGGUGUUUCAUUUGAUUGUUCAUUAGCUUGAUUUUAAGCUAAUAAAUAUUUAUUUUUUAAGUUUUUAAAUUUAUUUUGAGAGAGAGAGAGAGAGAGUGAGUGAGCAUGAGCAAGGAAGAGACAGGGAGAGAAGGAGAGAGAGAAUCCCAAUCAGGCUCUAUGCUGCCAAUGUAGAGCCUGAUGCAGGGCUCGAACUCACGAACAUUGAGAUCAUGACCUUAGCUGAAACCAAGAGCCGGAUACUUAACUAGCUGAGCCACCCAGGUUCCCCAAGCUUAUAAAUAUUUAGAUAGCUGGUUUUGGGGCCUCCAUCUGUCCUGUUGAGCCAGGCCUCACAACUCUAAGGGGAGGGACCAUCCUAAAGAUCUUCAGCCUCUUCCUUUUCUCUCCCUUACAUCCAGCAGAGAAUAAAGAUUUUCCCCCUCCAAAGCCCUCCCUGAAUUUGCUUCAGGGGCUUCCACUCCAAUGUAAAGUUUAGUUUCGGAGAAGUUUCUCCUUAUUAAGAACUUUGUCCCACAAGGAAGGAAUGCUUUCUGAGGGCCCAUGUAUAGUUUCUCUUCUAGGCUUUGGGGAGGUUAUACUAGCCAAACAGAUCCAGUCUCUGCUUUUAUGAGGCUUAGUGGGGAGGCAGACAUUUAAAACCAGAUUAACUCAACAGCCACUUAUCUACCAUGUGGUCAGUGUGAGGAGGUCUGCCGAGGAAGGUUACAGAGUCUGUGAGGGUGCAUGAGGCAGAACCUGGCAAGAUUUCUUUAUUGACUCUUUCUGCCAAGACUUGACAGUUGAGUAGGAUUUGACUGGGAAAAACAGACAUGAAGACUAUUUGGGGCAGAGCUGUAGUUCAGGGAGGCUGGGAAUGGGCAGCUGGUGGGGGAGGAGGCUGGGACAGGUGGUGGGGUGGGUGAUAAACAGGCUGGUCAUACACGUAGGGAAAGUAGAGUGGUGGGAAGUCAGUAUGUAGUACAAAGGUUUGGAAUGGGCCUUGCCAAAAUCAAAGUUGCUUGCAAAGAUUUGAACCUGUUCAUCCUGGGGGGUUCCAAAAACAUUUUUUUGUGUGUCACCUGGGCUGAAUAUCCUCUUGAUGGGGCUGCAAGCAGAACUUUGUGGGCCAUGGUAAGACUUCACUAGUGAUCUGAGAACAAUGGGAAGACAUCAGAGGGUUUUAAAUAGAAGGGUGUCUUAUCAAGUUUAUCAAGUGCCACCAACAAAACUGUCAUCUUGACCCAACAGAAUUAGUAGCUCCCAAUGUUGAGACUUAAAGGCUUUGCAAAGAAUAUUAUAAUGUGUGUGUGUGUGUGUGUGUGUGUGUGGUGUGUUUAUGACAAGUCAUGACUAUUAAUUUUUAGAAACUGUUUAAAAGGGGAAGGGGUUACCAAUGUUUAUAGCUGCCCUAUCGACAAUAGCCAAAGUGUGGAAAGAGCUGGAAUGUCCAUCGAUGGAUGAAUGGAUAAAGAAGAUGUGGUAUAGAUAUACAAUGGAGUAUUAUUUGGCAAUCAAAAAGAAUGAACUUGCCAUUUGCAACUACGUGGAUGGAACUGGAGGGUAUUAUGCUAAGUGAAAUUAGUCGGAGAAAGACAAAUAUCAUAUGACUUCACUCAUACGAGGACUUUAAGAGACAAAACAGAUGAACAUAAGGGAAGGGAAGCAAAAAUAAUAUAAAAACAGGGAGGGGGACAGACCAUAAGAGACUCUUAAAUAUGGGUAACAGAGGGUUAUUGGAGGGGUUGUGGGAGGGGGGAUGAGCUAAAUGGGUAAGGAGUAUUAAGGAAUCUACCCCCAAAAUCAUUGUUGCACUAUAUGCUAACUAACUUGGAGGUAAAUUAAAAAAUAAAUAAAUUUAAAAAAAAGGGAGAAGGGAUUAGUGAAACAUGAAGACAUUUGAUCUGCCUAAUUGCUGUUCAGUCUAACAGCACACAGCUACACUAAAAGAGAACUGAACUCAGUAUCUGACUUAUAACUGUUUGGGACCAAUUGAUUUUUGCAGUAAUCUCACUCCUAAAAAAAUUGUAUUCUUAAAAGAAACUCAUGGUGAGAGGAGCAGAAGCUAACGCUGACAUAUCAGUCUUUGAUAUGGAGGUACAGUAGGCAGACAUGAAUUUUCCCAGAUUAAAAACAAAUGUGUAAUGGAAGUUGAAAUAUAAAGAAUUUCUCCAUUUAUCUUCUUGACUAAAGGGAGAAAAAAGCAUCAUACACACUGUAGAUCAUUUGAGUUUUAGGCUGAUGAUUUGAAACAUUUUUAUAAUAAUUCAGUGGCUCUUUUUGAAUAUCCAGAUGUUAAUAAUGGUUCCCUGCUAUGUGAUUAGGAAUGAAUCUGCCAAGGAAAAAUGAAGCCUUCUCUCUUGGGGAAAGUUGAGUUACUUCUGUUAUUUUCCCAGGCUUCCUGGGGAAGUCUAUCAACAUACGAAUAAAUGAUGGGAAUAGGAGUCUGGCUGGUCACCACGGAAUUAUCGGCCUUGUUUUUUGAGUUAGACCUUUAUUAUUUACACACUCAGUUUGAAAUACGACAAAUGUGGUAACCUUCCAAUGAUUUUAUUCCUUGAAAUCCAGCAGUCCUUAUAGGUUUUGAGGUUGGAAAGCCUGUGCUAUUUUAAGAAAAGUUUCUGUUGUCAUUGCUUGUGAAAGCCAUGACUGCUGCCUAAAUUAAGAAAAAAUAUGAAUAAUAUGAAUAACAAUGGGGGGGUUUCCUUUCAUUAGGUUAAACUUUUUUGGGGGGAAGAAAAACAUCAUUUUCUUUUUAAAGAAAAGAAACAUUUAGAAACUAUAAACCUCUCUUAGAGACGUCUCUCAGAGUAACCAGCUUGGAUAGUUUUUGUUUUAUUGCUCUAUGCCUGUUAUGACACUUGCUUUAAUUUUCUCCUUAGUAUCGAAGGUACCUAAGGCAUCUUCAGUCUAGAAUCCCUUUCAGAAUAAUUGUGUUCGAGCAUUACAAUACUUCAUGUGGUCUUCAUCUACUUUUGCAAUCUUCAUGUAUACUUAGGAAUUGGAACAUUUCUGUUAGAAUACUUAAAAAUGAAGAUUUAAAUAAAAAGGCCUCUAGAUCAGAGGCUUUCAAGGCAUGGUCCAUGGACUGUUUCCUGGGAAUCCACAAGAUCAAAGUGUUUUCAUACUGAUAGUAAGAUGUUAUUUGCCUGUUUCACUGUCCUGGCGUCUACACUGAAGGUACAAAAACAAUGGCGGGUCAGCUUGCCGGCUCCUUAGCAUAAAUCAAGGCCAGGCACCAAAUUGUACUAGUGAGCAUGUGUUCACCACCAUGUACUUACAGAGGGAAAAAAGCCACUUUUACUUAGGAACACCCUUGAUGAAGGUGUAAAAAUUAUUCAUUGUAUUAAAACCUGACCCUUAAGUGUACAUCUUUUUAAUGCUCUGUGUGACAACAUGGGACAUGAGCGUUAAGGCUUCUCCUGUACCUUGAAGUACAGUCGUCUCGAGGAAAGGUCUUGUGAGAUACUCUGAGCCGGGAGCUGAACAGUCACUUCCUCCACGGAGUCCCCCUUUUACCCGCAAGAAUAACACACACACUGAGGAUAUUUAGACUUGGCAGAUGUAGUGGGUCUUUUUUAUGAGAAUAAACAAAAUAUGCUUUUUAUGUCAAAGAAGUCACUGAUUGUAUGUAUGGCUAAUAAUGAAUGUAAGCUUUCAAGAGAAAAUCGGAAUUUUGGAAAACUUGUAUUCAGCACCAUGGGCUUGAUAAAUUCAGAAUAUUUAAAGACUUUUCUGAUGACCUCAGAGGUGAUAGUAAAGCAUGCAAUACCUUAGAUACUGUAAUAUUAAAUGGGAUAACAUUUGGAAGAGUGAACCAACAUUUCCCCAACAACCAACAGUCAAUGUGAAGAAAUCAUGCAUGGGUAAGAGAGUCACGUAAGGUGCAAAGUAGAAAAUGGAUUUUAAUGUAACGAAGUAUCAAAAGUUAAUUUUUAUGGUUUCAGACUCUAUAGUAUAACUAACCUUUAAGAAAUUACCACUUGUUGAAUGUUGGUGUAGUAUCAAAGAAGAAGAUCCACAAUUAUCUGAUAAAAUUACCAAAAUGUUUUUUCCCUUUUAACCACUUAAUCAUGACGGUAGACAAUCAAAACAAUGUAUCGCAGCAGAAUGAAAGUAGCAGCAGAUAUGAGAAUCCAGCUGUGCUAAGUUAGACAAAAAGAACAAUUAGAUCUGCAAAACUCUAAAAUCAUGCCAUUCCUAUUACUCAACUUAAUUAAAAAAAUAAUUAUGGGGCGCCCGGGUGACUCAGUCGGUUAAGCGUCUGGCUUCGGCUCAGGUCAUGCAUGAUCUCACGGUUCAUGGAUUUGACCCACGUCGGGCUCUGUGCUGACAGCUCGGAGCCUGGAGCCUGCUUCAGAUUCUGUGUCUCCCUCUCUCUCUGCCCCUGCCUCACUUGCACUCUCUCUCUCAAAGAUAAACAAACAUAAAAUUUUUUAAAAAAUUUAAUUGUGGUAAAAUACAUAUAACAUAAAAUUUACAGUCAUCACCAUAUUGAAGCGUAUAGUUCAGGAAUGCAAUGCAUUCACAUUAUUGUGCAAUCAAUCCGUACAACUCUUUUCAUCCUGCAUCAGUAAAACCUUACCAUUAAACAACAAUUCCCCGUUUGUUCACUCCUCCCCAGCCCCUGGCAACCACCCUUCUACCUUUUGUCUCUAUAAAUUUGACUACUCUGGGUACCUCAUAUAAGUGGAAUCACAGUAUUUAUUUUUUUAUGACUGGCUUAUUUCACUUAGUAUGCAUUUUUGUUCGUUUUGGGAGAUUAAAAAAUGCUAUUUAUGUUAACACGCCCUUAUUGUUAUUUUAACGAACGGUAAAUACUUUACAAUUCCCAGUUUUAAAUUCUAAUACAAUCAGUACCGACAGAUAAAAAUUAGCUCUUUGCAAUGCUCAGUAAAUUUUUCAGAGUAUAAAGGGGCCCUUAAGGCAGAAUGUUUGAGAGCCACUGUUGUUCUAGAUACAUUGUGUCAUGGAAAGCUUAUCACUCUGUAUGGUUCAGAGAGCCUGAGUCAUUUCUCAACAUCCUACAGCUAGCAGAUGCCCGAACUCAGAUGCCACCUCUUUCAGGAAGCUUCCCCAGAACUAAGUGCUCUCUCUUCUGCUCUCCAGGUGUCUUACACACGUUUUGAUUGUGCCAGCAGGUGCACUACCGUGGUUUUAAUUCUUUGUUUUUCUUCCCACCCUAUGAUGGCUAUCAUGGCAGGAACUGUACGAUGUUCACUUUGCAUCUCUAUUUAUUCUGUAUUUAUAUUAACUGAAUACUUAGUAAGUGGAUGGAUGAUGAAAGCCAGAUGGUGGCCAACAAACUUUGAAAGUUACAGGUCAGCUGUAUGUCCAAGUGCAUGACGCGGAAUUUUAAGGGGCUCUGAACUGAAUAUUGUUAAUGGUUAUUAUAGAGUUUAAUGGGUUUGAGAAGAAAUACCUUUCAUGUGGAACUUGUCAUUUCAUAGAUUUCAUUGUUCAGUAUGAGCUUAACGUUAAAUGUUAGGUAAUUAAUAUUCUAGUGAGUACUUUGGAAAGGCACAAAAUUGCGAAGGUGGCGCUCUAAUGCGGAAAUUUGAAAAAUUUUGUCUUAUUCCCAAAUAGUAUUACUUCUGAUGAAUGAGUUUUCUUGCUGUCCUCCUUUUGUACCUCUGCUGAUUAGAAGAAAUCUAUUGGCUGAGAUUCCUCAAAAUCUUUAUAACAUGUGCAAAUAUGAAUUAAUACAGAAUAUAAGAAUGUCAUAGUAUGGGGUUUGAAAGCCAGUGCUAAUAUAGCUUAACAAAUGUUUUUUAAAACCUCAUCUUUUCUUCACAAUGGCUUUAUUUCUUACUUGUUGAAAACAUGCUUUAAAGUCUUUCUCUUGAUAGAUGUUCUGUUUCUCUAAAGACAUGGAACCACUGAGGAAAGUUUUUGAACUUGAUUAUAAAGAGUCUGUGUUAAAGAUUAAAAACUCGUGGAAUGACACAUUAAACCCUCACACUCUUCAUAUGUUAUUAGUAAUAAACACAGUUAAUACGUAUAGAUGCUGCCAUGAUAAAGAGAUUUUCAGUGCUGUGAACAUUGUUUUCUGAUUUACUAUGAUUUGGGUAUUUAUUGAUCUAGGACUAUUUCCAGCCUGAAGUUAUUAGGGUUUGGGGUCUAAAUUAGGCAAGAUAUCAGAAGAUCUUAAAUUCCAUAGGGAAGAGUGUCUGGGAAAUGUGCCUUUUGCUGGUCUCUGAGGAGUAAAGCUUUUGAUCUUCUGCAUACUUGGUUUUGAUUUACCUCCAAAGCCACGUUGACCACUUUGGCGCUCACGGCUACAGCGGAGUCUUUUAACUAGAGUGAUAGGGCAGGCUUCAGUUCCCGUUGCAUUCAGACCCGAUGCAGGUCUUGUCUUCCCCUCCCCACUUGAAGAGUGUGGGGAGGAUGCGUUAUGAAUAAUGUCUUCCUCCUAGGGACCUGGUCCAGGGAUCAGAAUUUUUUGGAAGUGAGUUGGCCUGCUCUUUUAUCUAACCCUGUUUAGCUCUGAAAAUCACAGACUGUCUGAAUUGAAAGGGAGUCAAAGACAAAGCUACCCAACACGCCUCUUUCACGGUAAAGAAACUGGGAACUAGAGAGACUAAGUAAUUUGCUCGGUCAGUUGUGAAUUGGUGACUGAAACUCAGGUCCCUCAUUAGAAGUUCGGUUUUCUUUCAGCUACCAGCUAAUGGAGAAUGUUCAUGGACUUCUUGGAACGUAGUCCUGGAGUGUAUAGUGAAGUGGGGUCAAGUCCACCCCAACUCCUCUCUCCCUCUCUCUCUCUCUCUCUCUCUCUCUCUGUCACACACACACACACACACACACAGCAUUCCAGUCUCAGGUCCAACCCUCAGCAGCUGUGUGACCAUACUCAGCUCACUUAUGGAAACUUCGGCUCUAGGAGGUGAUUGUCUCCGCAGAGAUGCUCGUUCCUGCAUGGGCUGUGGCGUGGAUUCCAUGAGACCAUGUAUGUGGAAGCCCUCUGUGAGCUGUAAAACGUGGAUGAGCGUAAUGUAGUGACAGUAACAGAAAGCCAAGCCCUGAAAUGCUUUAGUGUGUGCACGGGUACAAGAAAUCUCGCGAGGUGGUGGUGAAUCCUGCCGUGUGUUCUCCUUUGCAUAACUCACAACUCUGUAAUUAUAAUAUUGUUAUAACCAAACAGGCAGUCCUCCCCCUUCCUCUCCUUAUCCCUGGCAGCUUCUUAAGCCCAAUUCUCAAUUUCAGACCUUGCUGGAGGUCCCCGUGGGCCUUCGGUUUGUUAUUUCAAAGCUAUGAUAAAAAGAGUUUAAAGGUAUAGACAUGUUUAAGAAAAAUAUACUUAUUGCUCUGGGCCUUUUCAUUCACUCUGUGAUACCUGACAACCUUGUUAUACUUGCUAGAGCUGUGGGCUGCGGGGUUUUCGGUGGGGUGGGGCAGCUGGGUUUUGACCCCUGCUCUGCUCUGUGUCCCUUUGGAUCGCUGUGUAAAAUAAGAAGGCCAGCUCAGAGGACCUCUUAAGGCCCUGUCUCAGCCAGCCCAGGCUGCCCUAACAAAAUACCAUAGACUGUGUGGCUUAAACAAUGGGAAUUUCUUUUCUUAUAGUUCUGGAAGCUGGACGUGUGACACCAGGGUGCCAGCGUGGCUGGGUUCUGGUCAGAGUUCUCUUCCAGGUUCCCAGACGGUUGGCUUCUCUGCGUCCACACACAGCAGAGAGAGAGAGAGAGAGAGAGAGAGAGAGAGCAGUUUGAAAAAAGAGUUUUGUUUUUGUUUUGUUUUGUAACCCCACUUUUUAUUUCUUACACGAGUUAAGAGACAAAGGCAUGCAAAAUAAUAACUAUCCAUGUUACAGGGCACACAAUAUAGAGAGAAUUAAUUUGGGACAUCAGUAACAGAAAAGGAGAACAGAGCUUCCCGGGGCAGAGUGGGGGGAAGAGUUGGGGGGUGGUGACUUUGUACCCUACUGAAGUUAAGUUGGUAUGAGCUCAAACCAGAUUGUUACAAAUUUAGGAUGCUAAAUGUAAUCCCCAUGGUAACUCUAAAGAGAGCAUUUAACAGAUACACACAACAAGAAAUGAGAAGGGAAUCGGGUUCACUGUAGAAAAUCAACUUCAUUCCCGAAAAAGCAGUAAUGGAGAAAACGAGAGACAGCAAAAGGUAGAAAACAUAAAGAAAACAAAUAACAAUAUGGCAGAAGUUCUUCCUUAUACUAAUUACUUUAAAAGCAAAAGGAUUAGACUUUCCAAACAAAAGACAAAACUUGGCCAAAUGGAUAACAGACAAAUAAACAGAAAAUGGCUCUUUUCUGGUAAGGGCACUCAUACAAUCAUGAGAGGCCCGUCUUCACCAUCUCAAGUGAACAUAAUUUUCCCCCCGAAGCCUCACCUCCAGAUACCAUCACGCUGGGGGUUAGGAGUUUCAACAUAAUGAAUUUUGGUGGGUGGCGGGGUGGGGGGGUGGUGGGAAUGCAAUUCAGUCCAUAGCAGGCCUCUUCUAAUCCAAAGGCUGGGAGUCAACAUUACAUGUGGAAUGUAAUGCUAAGUACUGAGAGAUACCAGAAAAUUCUUGGUACAGAAAAUCCAUAAAAGAUCUAACUCCUAAGGAGAACAUAGCCCAUUUGGAAAGCAACUGUAGUACAAAGCCAUAUGAGGAACAAGGGCCUGCAGAAGUUCAGAAGAACGAGAGAGCACUUAAGGCUGGGAGAAUUAGGAUGGCUUCCUGGAGGAGGUGGCAUCGAGUUGGAUUUUGAAAGAUAGCAAGAUGUCAGUAAAUGACGGUGGGUGUGGGGUAGGUGCCAAGUGACAAGCACAGAGAUGGAACAGAUGAGAUGAGAGUUGGAGAACAGAUGAGUCAACCUGCUGGCCUUGAGUUUAGUUGGAGAUAGUCCCGGAAAUACUGCUUCAACUCAGACAAUCCUAAAAGCCAAGCUGAGAGUUUUGGAACCUAUGUGAUGCCUGGAGAACCUCUUUAUUUUAUUAACAAUCAAAGUGGACUUUGGGGAAAAGUAACCCUACUGCAGAGAUGGGACUGGCUGGGGCAGAGAAAAGAUGGACAGAGAGACCAGUCUGGAGCCUAUAGAGAAGUGGUAACUUCUCACUUUCUCUUAAACAUCUAGGAUGUCCGUUGCAAAAAACAAACAAACAAAACAAAAAAACCAAAAACAGCCUUGGACUUAUUCACCACUGGAAGCUGCAACCGUCCUUCUGGUUUUGGCUUCUGCUUUAGGUAAUCAGAUUUAUUUCCUCUUGUCAAGCAUUCUACUCUGUUGACAUAGUAGACAGAGGCUCUGGGUACAUCCUGAUAGGUGUCUGUAGCCAGGACAAGAAAAAUGUUGUUUUUAGGAGCAACUGACACAGAGGAGGACUGGCAUUUCACCGGUCCCUGCAAACCACUGCUUUGGCAGGACUGGACUGCCUUGCUUUGGCAGGACUGGAAGGAAAGCAUGAAGAAGAACGUGCUCGACACACGUGACAUCUUAGGAGCCGUCCUCUUGAAGGAUAGAUGACUUUUGGUCCAGUUUUCUGUAUCCCUGACUCCUACAAGUUGAGGCAGGCAGUCUGUUUGCUUUUGUAAUCCAAAAUUCCUUCGGUUUCUCCUGCUCUUGAACCUGACUGUUUCCGGCCGCAUGGCAGGGGCACCUGUGCCCUCCUGUCCAAGCCUCUUGAUCUUAUGUAUAGGUCUAUUUCCCAUGGGUUCACACACAGCUCUCAGAGCCCCUUUUGGUGCCUGUUUCCUACAAAGGCACUGGAGAAUGCUGAUUCCUGGACACCGAUUAUUGGAGUUUCUGAAGAUUUCAGAAGCUACCAGGCCUCCUUCAGCUCUCACUCUUACAGCCACUUUGUGGUCAGGGAGAAAUGGGGAGAGGUGGUCCACGGUUUCCCCUCGGGGUCUUUGGUGUCUCUGGCUGGAGCUAAGAGCACAGACCUUCCUCUUUCCAGGCUGUUUACUUCCUGAUAACAAACACGCGAACCCUCUGGUCCGCAAGAUUUGCAGAUGUGGCCGGACCCUGAAUCGCAGAGCCCGAGUCCUGCCACAACGCACGCCAGCCCUUACAAGGUUUGCUUGUGCCCUGACUUGGUUGUGUAAGCUUAAAGCUGGCUGGGACAGCGGAGCAGGUGCCAGGGGCACCGACGGCAGCUGCUCCCUGGGUGUUGGGGGCUCUCUGGUGGGCCAAAGGGUGGCCCAGAACCGCAUGUAGAUCUGAGGCAUCAGCCAGGAACGUUUUCAUUUUCACAACCCCCCAGAGACAGGCUGGGUUUUCACGGUAUCAAGACAGAGCUGGGGUUCUCAGAGGGACGAGCUCUGUGACAAGACUGUUGGCAGCUGAGUCCACUGGGUUCCUGGGGAGGGUAAGGGACAGCGAUGCAGGACAGUUGUCCUGGUACACCUGUGCCAGACCUGCCACAGCACCACAUACCGUAUGGUCUCAUCGUGACCUGUUUGGUCCUCCUGGGCAUAUCUGCCGCUGAUUCCAUCUGAGCUCAUGCUGCGCUUCCUCAGUCAUUACGACUUUUUAUCAUCCACUUUAUUACCCACCUAUUGACCUAUCCCCUACUGACAGAUAUUUGGGUUGCUUUUAAUCUCUUGCUGUUUUCACAGUGGUGCCAUAAGUUAUUUCUAACAUACAUCAUUUCACAGAUGAGCAAAGUACUUGUAAAGGGCGAUACUUUCUCGAAGCAGAAUUGCUGGAUCAACCAGUAUAUUCACUUAAACUUUAGGUAAAUAUUACCCAGUUGUUUUCUGUAGAGGCCACCCCUCUCUCCACUCGCACCAGAAAUGUAUGAGAGUUUCCAUUAUCUCACGCUCGUAUCAACACAUUCUAUUUUCAAGCUUCUUGGUCUUGCCAAACUGACCCGUGAAAAAAAUGUUUUCUCGUAAUAGUUACAGUUUGUUUCCUACUAUCCUGAAAGAGGUUUUGCACCUUAAGAGAGCACCUACAAAAAUCACGUACCACCCAGCCCUUUCUGAGUAGCCAGAGGACAGAAGGGAAAAAUAAUUCAGAAACCGAGGUCUCAACCAGCUGAAAGAUCACUGUCAUACGUUCCUUGAGGACGAGCACGUGCCUUUUUCCGUUUCAUCUCCACUGGCGCACAAAACUCACCAUAAAUGUGUGUCAGGUUGAAUUUGCGUCACUUUGGUGUAAGAGGGGAAGUCUUUUUCAUAUCUGCCCUUCAAAACUUUGAUGUUUUCCUUUCAAGAGUUUGGAAGUGCUUUCCUGAAAAAUUCAGUUCAAAGAGUUCAAGUUUCAAUUCUUGUUAGAGUAUUACCUCCUGAAGGCUCCCUUCAACAAUAAUGCCAUUAUUUCCCCGACUUUGUUGUUGUCUUUCCAGAAUCAUUGUGCACCCGUGAGGAAGGUGUUGGAACCACAUGGCUCUGAGGGCAUGGGGAGAAAACAUUCUGUGAACCGUCUGGACUCCAAAGCUUGAAGAAAAGUUUCUCAACAGCCUGCAUCUGCUACCAAAGUUUUCAUGUUGCACGAGCCAGUAUUAAAUGUUAGUGAAUUACAGCUUUUUGGUGCAUUAACCUUAACUUUAAGACAUUUACCAAAGGAGUUCUAAUCAC